rnacentral:lncRNA from 1 species
CUCCUCGAGGUCUCCAUCAGGAAUUUGCAGCCUCUUGAUCACAACGGGUGAGAUCAAGUUCAGACCGCCCCCACCGUCAACCAGCAUCUUGUUCACCUUGAGGUUGCAUAUCGUUGGUGAAACCAACAACGAAAAACACCCGACCGCGGUUGUGCGAUCAGGGUGAUCCUCGGCGUCAAAGAUGAUGGGCGUGCUGGACCACUUCAGCGGUUUCUGAGCGUCGAACGAUGGCUCCGCUGCUGUGAUCUCACGCGCCCACUGCUUGAGCUGGCGGUGAGAAGUGUGUAGCGAGGCACCACCAUCGAUGCACAUGGCCUCCAUAGCCUUCUAAAACUCGUGCUCGCCGGACUCGUCGUCCUCGUCAUGAUCGUCGUCUUCCUGCUUCUUGUCGCGGCCCCGAGCGGGCCUCUCUUGCUGAUUAUCCUUGCCGCGGCGGCCUCCUUGGCCACCACACUUCUUCCCGGAUCCUUCGGCACCAUCCUGACCCUUCUCCUUGUCCCGCCUCUCAUACUCGGCUUUUUGCUUUUCAACAAGCAGCUCGACUUGUCGGCAGUUCUGGAGGUCGUGGCCCUUGGUGCGGUGGAUCUUGCAGUACUGCUUGUCGGAGCCUCCUGGCUUAUCGGCAGCCGCCAAGGCCUGGCAAGCGGCGCACCCGGCAAUCUCCUUGCCGGGGUCGUCUGCCUUGGCCUUCUUGGUAGCGCUGGUGUCGUCGGAUCCCUUGACGGCAAGCACGGUCUUGCCCUUACGUUUCCUGUUGCGACGCCGACCCUUCUUCAUCAGGGCGGCGGUGUCUUCGUCGUAGAGUUGGUUUCCGCGCCGGCGUCUUCGCCGGGGCACUUCCUCCCCUCUUCGGCCUGAGCACAUCUAUCGGCCAAAACGUAAAGUUCGGCCACAUGCUUGACCUUGUUCAUUGCUAGCUCUUCACGCAUCUUGCGGUUACGCACAUUCUGAUGGAAUGCGCUGAUCACGGCGGCGGGAUGAACAUCUGGGAUGUUGUAUUGCACUCGGCUAAACCUCUGUAUGUACUUGCGCAGGGUUUCACUUCCUUCUGGGGAAUGAUAUGCAAAUCACUCGCCUAGCCAUGAGCUUGGUGGCCUUUGGUGAAGGCACCAACGAACUCAUGACACAGAUCCGACCAAGAAGAAAUGGAAUCCGCCGGCAAGUGCAUCAACCAAGACAUGACAUUGGGUUUCAGGGCCAACGGGAAGUAAUUGGCAAGCACCUUGUCGUCACAAGCUCCAGCGGCUUGCAUCGCGAUGGUGUAGAUGCUGAGGAACUCUGAUGGAUGGGUCUUGCCAUUGUACUUCUCGCCGACAUCGGGCUUCAACGUGCGGUGGGACGGCCACUGGAACUGCCGCAUCUCACGGGUAAAGGCUGGGCAACCCACCUCGUAAGGUAGGCCGCCGGAGCCUCCCGGUGCUGGGUGGUCCCUAGCGGGCCCCGCCCGCUUAUCUGACUGGUGGCGUGUGUCGCGCCGGCGCUCGAUGGUGGUUCGAGCAUCUUCAUGGGCUCGCUCCCGAAGAACUUGGCGCUGAUCGCGGUGGCUCCAUGGGUCGGACGACGCUAUGGAAAUGUUAUCACAAGCGUCAUCACAAUGAACCGGCACCCGCGGUGGCUGGCGUGGAGGAGGAGAGUGCACCAUGGCUGCAGCACCUUCGGUCUUCCCACUGCUGGCGUGGGGUGGCUCGACGGAGCGUCGGCCCGAGGGCCCCGCCGGUCGCGGUUCAUCUUUGUUGGCGACAGCGACGAGGCUCCGGAUGGUGGCUCUCCAUUCGUCGAGCUUUUCCGCGGCCGGAGGGAAGUCGAGGAGCAGCUGCACGCGCGCCAAAGCUUCUGCUGAUGUGGGUGGCGGCGAAAGCUGCGUGGACCGUGACGCGCUCCGACAUCUAACCGCGUUAGAAGGAGCUCUAUCACGGCCUGGCGGUUGCGCGCCAUUUUCGCCAGCACUUCGGUGGGCAUGCUGGCCUCCUCCGUCCCGCGAAUGAUGCACGGGACUCUUCCCAUGGUGGCGUCCGGGGUCACCAGCGUGAUGACGUUGUUCGUCGCGCACACCCUGGGAAGAGCGCGUCGUGGGCGCCGGCGUAGGCAUCUUGGAGGCUGCUGCGCCGCCCGUAGGUGGCACGGCCCCACCCCUGGAGGGCCCCGCGCCACCUGCGGGGGGCCCAGCUCCGUCUUUGGAUUUGGCGGCGUGCGGCCCGUCGUUUCGCGCACGAACGACGCCGCUCCCCAGGCUCUGACUUCCAGGGCGAUGUUGGUGCUCGCGGGCCGUGGCUUGGGUUCUGUCCGCGACCGGCCCACUGCUCGCCCGCACUGGUACGGGCCGUUCGGCUCCCGACGAGACGAUCGCCGUGAUCGUCUUCUUCUUGGGAGCCAUGGCAAUGAGAAACUGCCAAACUACCUGCUAGACCAGAUUCUCACAACUGCGCCCCCCUACCUGGCGCGCCAAAGAUGUCGGGGGAAAUCGACACCUAUGGAAUCACUGGGAUCCCUUCUGCGGUUGGCGGGCGCGGGGUUGUGCAAAGAGCGGGUCCGACAGGAAGCACACGGAUCGUUUACCCAGGUUCGGGCUGCGAAGAUGCGUAAUACCCUAGUCCUGCUUUGGUGGAUGUAUUCGAGCGUUCUUGUGUUCUUGAGCUAGCUAUGGGGUGCAACUUGCCCAAAAGAUCUGAAUCCUCCUCCUGGUCGCCUCGGGCCUCCUUUUAUAGGCAAAAGGGGCUGCCAAAGUGGCACACAGGAGGCGGAAAGGUGUACAGUGGACGAGUCUAUCCUUUGGCGCCGUCGGACAAACGCAUUUAAUGCGCUGCCGACGUGACCCUCUCGCUUUAUCGGGGACGGCAAGGAAGCACAUCCCAGCUGUCGCCGCCUCGCCUGGCUUCGACGCGCGUCCGAGCUGACGAGGCGUCACGGCGCCACGUUGGCUGGCUGCUGGGCUGGCGCGGUGGUGGAGCCUUCACGAAGACCUGCAUGCCACCACGCAGAUGCUUGCUGUGUCAGUCAUGGAGGCCGCUCAUCGCCACGCAGGUGUCUGCUCAGCUGGUUGAGCUGGCAGCUGUAUGGGGACAGCGGUGGAGCCUUGGCAGACGCGAGCCUGGCCACAGCCCCGUCGGUGUUUUUGGCAAGGAUCUUGCCGGGGCCCCGGCAAGGGUCUUGCCGUGGCGUCGCUGUCUUCCCCGGCAAGCGUCUUGCCAGGGGUCUCGUGGACUUCUUCGGCUGGGAUCCCACCGAGGGUUGUCGUCUUCUGGUCCUCAUCUGAUCUUGUGUGUCUAUGAUCUUGACGAAGAUCUGCAUGCCACCACAGAGGUGCCACCCGAGCCUUGGUUCCAAUGUAGUUGGUUGGUGGUGUUUGGAACCCGCGGGCUCAAGGGUGGCUCGCUCCGCUGGUGUUGGGCAAGCUGCCCUGGCAAGGCUCUUGCCGGGGCCGCGGAGGCCGCCCCGGCAAGUGUCUUUCCCGGGGAGCCCGUCUUGCCCCUUUGCUCUUUAGCGCUUCAGGUCUUGGCGUUGCCUUGUUUGUCUUGUGCUUCAUUUUCCCUCCGGCUUCCCUCCUUUUCCCUGUUAAGUGUGGCCGCGGGCGUGGCUCUAACUGCCCGUGCACAAGUAAAGGGGUCAAAAGGAGAGCCCCUACUUUUGUACACCGACACCUACUCUCUUCAAGGACGCCCGUAAGUUUGUCUUGUCUUGUGAUGAAUGUCAAAGAAUUGGUAAUAUUAGUAGACGUCAAGGAAUGCCUAUGGACUAUUCACUUGUUAUUGAACCAUUUGAUGUUUGGGGCUUUGAUUAUAUGGGACUGUUUCCUUCCUCUAAUGGGUAUACACAUAUUUUAGCUGCUGUUGAUUACGUUACUAGGUGGGUAGAAGCUAUUCCAACUGGCAGUGCUGAUCAGAACACAUCUAUUAAGAUGCUUAAAGAAGUUAUUUUUCCGAGGUUUGGAGUCCCUAGAUACUUAAUGACUGAUGGUGGUUCACAUUUUAUUCAUGGUGCUUUUCGUAAGAUGCUUGCUAAGUAUGACGUUAAUCAUAGAAUUGCAUCUCCAUACCACCCACAAUCUAGUGGUCAAGUAGAACUGAGUAAUAGAGAGAUUAAAUUAAUUUUGCAAAAGACUGUUAAUAGAUCUAGAAAGAAUUGGUCCAAGAAACUUGAUGAUGCAUUAUGGGCCUAUAGAAAUGCAAAUAAAAAACCCAAAAUCCUAUGGGUAUGUCUCAGUAUAAAAUGGUUUACGGAAAAGCAUGUCACUUACCUCUCGAAUUAGAACAUAAGGCAUAUUGGGCCAUUAAAGAGCUCAAUUAUGAUUUCAAACUUGCCGGUGAGAAGAGACUAUUUGACAUUAGCUCACUUGAUGAGUGGAGAACCCAAGCCUAUGAGAAUGCCAAACUGUUUAAAGAAAAAGUUAAAAGAUGGCAUGACAAAAGGAUACAAAAGCGUGAGUUUAACGUAGGUGAUUAUGUUUUGCUAUACAACUCUCGUUUAAGAUUUUUUGCAGGAAAACUCCUCUAUAAAUGGGAAGGUCCUUACGUUAUCGGGGAGGUUUAUCGUUCCGGUGCCAUAAAAAUCAACAACUUCGAAGGCACAAAUCCAAAGGUGGUGAACGGUCAAAGAAUCAAACAUUAUAUCUCAGGCAAUCCCAUAAAUGUUGAAACCAAUGUUAUUGAUACUGUAACCCGGAGGAGUACAUAAGGGACACUUUCCAGAACGUUUCAGACUCCGAAAAGGAAUAGGUACGUGGUACGGUAAGUAAACCGACUCGAAAACAGUUCUAAUGGCAAUUUUGCUCCAUUUUGGAAUAUUUAAGAAAAUAGGAAAAUAAGAAGUAGUCCAAAAAGGACACGCGGCAUCCACGAGGGUGGAAGGCGCGCCCUCGCCCCCUGGGCGCGCCCCCUGCCUCGUGGGCACCUCGUGUGCUCUCCGGACUCCGUUUUCUUGCACGAUACUUCUUUUGGUUGGUAAAAGUUCAUUAUUUAAUCUCCCGAAGGUUUUGAAAUGAAUAUCCCCUGUUUUUGUUUUGAGCUAUUUUUCUGACAGAUCUAAAUCACCAUGACGUCUUCAAGUGCCCCCAAGGACAAGUUCUUCGAGAAGGUCAUCAACCCCUACCUCGCGGAGGUGCUGCAACACCCUCAAACCAUUGAGAUGCGUGAGGGGUUGCUGCACAUCCGCGAUGUUGAGGGACCAAGGAGGAGCGGAAGCACUGAGACAAGACUCAAAGCAAUGGAGCAACAAGUUUUCAAGUGCCAGGAGAUGGUGGAACGAGGACUCGACGCCAACCACAUGAUGAUCGCGGAUUUCACCAACAACCACAAGCUAGAUGCCAAGAACAUUGGGAAAACCAUCUUCAAGCUUCACGAGAAAAUCGAGCACCUCCAGGCCCAGAUCUAUGACCUGCAAAACCAAAACUGUGAGUAUGAAUAUAGAUUUAAGAGGAUGAGUUUGGCUGCAGAUUUGAGGAUCCCGGAGACCCGAUCAUCCUUUUAUGAUGGUGAGCCUAUGCCUUGGAAGAUGGACGACAAGCCUGCAUCAUCAACAACUCUAUCAUCACCACCUCCGAGGAAAGAGACAUAAAUACAUGGGUAUGGGCACUCCCCUUGGCAAUUGCCAAGCUUGGGGGAGGUGCCCCGGUAUCAUAUCACCAUCACACUUCUAUCUUUACCGUUUUUCUUAGUUCAAUCCUUUUGGUUAUAUCUUGAUCUAGUAGAAUAAAGUUUUAGUAUGAUCUAGGUUUGAGUUUUGUGUUGAUCCUUAUCUAUGUACUCGAGCCCGUGAGCUAUAUAUAAUAAAGAUUAGUCUUGAGUCGAGGGCUUGGUUAUCUUGCUAUGAUCUUGAGGGAAUAAUAGUAAAAGGAAAGAAUAAAAAGAAAUAAACAGAUCAUAUUGAUCUUAUGGAGAGUAAUGACUUCACAUAUAAAAGAGUAUGAUGAAUAAAAGUUGUUGAGAGUUGACAAACAUAGUUUGGAUCAUCGUUGCAAUUAAUAGGAAGUAAUAAAGAAAGAGAGGUUUUCACAUAUAAAUAUACUAUCUUGGACAUCUUUUAUGAUUGUGAGCACUCAUUAAAAUAUGACAUGCUAAAAAGUUGAUGUUGGACAAGGAAGACAACGUAAUGGGUUACGUUUUCUUAUAUCCGAAAUAAAGUAUAUUGUCAUGGAUCAUCCAACAUGUUGAGCUUGCCUUUCCCCCUCAUACUAGCCAAAUUCUCUGCACCAAGUAGAGAUACUACUUGUGCUUCCGAAUAUCCUUAAACCCAGUUUUGCCAUGAGAGUCCACCAUAUCUACCUAUGGAUUGAGUAAGAUCCUUCAAGUAAGUUGUCACUAUUGCAUGCAAUAAAAAUUGCUCUCUAAAUAUGUAUGAUCUAUUAGUGUGGAGAAAAUAAGCUUUAUACGAUCUUGAGAUAUGGAAGAAAUAAAAGCGAUGGACUGCAUAAUAAAGGUCCCUAUCACAAGUGGCAAUAUAAAGUGACGUUCUUUUGCAUUAAGAUUUUGUGCAUCCAACCAUAAAAGCACAUGACAACCUCUACUUCCCUCUGCGAAGGGCCUGCCUUUUAUUUUUGACUUAUGUCUUAUGCAAGAGUCGAGGUGAUCUUCACCUUUCCUUUUUACACUUUAUCCUUUGGCAAGCACAUUGUGUUGGAAAGAUCCUGAUAUAUAUAUAUAUAUAUAUAUAUCCAAUUGGAUGUAAGUUAUCAUAAACUAUUAUUGUUGACAUUACCCUUGAGGUAAAAGGUUGGGAGGCAACGCUAUAAGCCCCUACCUUUCUCUGUGUCCGAUUAAAACUCUAUACCCAUAAGUAUUGCGUGAGUGUUAGCAAUUGUAAAAGACUAAAUGAUAGUUGAGUAUGUGGACUUGCUGAAAAGCUCUUAUAUAGACUCUUUUAGAUGUUAUGAUAAAUUGCAAUUGCUUCAAUGACCGAGAUCAUAGUUUGUUAGUUUUCAAUGAAGUUUUUGAUUCAUACUUGACAUUGUGAAUAGAUUGUUACUUUACCAUAACAAAUCAUGUGGACAUUGUGAAUAGAAUGUAGGGCAUCUCGAGGCGGAACCUUGGCGGAACUAAUCUAGGGCUCCAGCGGAGCUGUUCUACCGGGGAAACAUCCCUCCGGGAGGGGGAAAUCAUCACCGUCGUCAUCACCAUCAAUCCUCUCAUCGGGAGGGGGUCAAUCUCCAUCAGCGUCUUCACCAGCACCAUCUCAUCUCAAACCCUAGUUCAUCUCUUGUAUUCAAUCUUUGUCUCAAAACCUCAAAUUGGUACCUGUGGGUUGCUGGUAGUGUUGAUUACUCCUUGUAGUUGAUGCUAGUUGGUUUAUUUGGUGGAAGAUCGUAUGUUCAGAUCCUUUAUGCAUAUUAAUACCCCUCUGAUUAUGAACAUGAAUAUGAUUUGUGAGUAGUUACGUUUGUUCCUGAGGACAUGGGAGAAGUCUUGUUAUAAGUAGUCAUGUGAAUUUGGUAUUCGUUCGAUAUUUUGAUGAGAUGUAUGUUGUCUUUCCUCUAGUGGUGUUAUGUGAACGUCGACUACAUGACACUUCACCAUUGUUUGGGCCUAGGGGAAGGCAUUGGGAAGUAAUAAGUAGAUGAUGGGUUCCUAGAGUGAUAGAAGCUUAAACCCUAGUUUAUGCGUUGCUUCGUAAGGGGCUGAAUUGGAUCCAUAUGUUUCAUGCUAUGGUUAGGUUUACCUUAAUACUUCUUUUGUAGUUGCGGAUGCUUGCAAGAGGGGUUAAUCAUAAGUGGGAUGCUUGUCCAAAGAAGGGAGGUACCCAAGCACCGGUCCACCCACAUAUCAAAUUAUCAAAGUAACGAACGCGAAUCAUAUGAGCAUGAUGAUAACUAGCUUGACGAUAAUUCCCAUGCAUCCUCGAGAGCGCUUUCCUUUAUAUAAGAGUUUGUCCAGGCUUGUCCUUCGCUACAAAAAGGAUUGGGCCACCUUGCUGCACCUUGUUUACUUUUGUUACUUGUUACCCGUUACAAAUUACCUUAUCGCAAAACUAUCUGUUGCCGAUAAUUUCAGUGCUUGCAGAGAAUACCUUACUGAAAACUACUUGUCAUUUCCUUCUGCUCCUCGUUGGGUUCACACUCUUACUUAUCGAAAGGACUACGAUAGAUCCCCUAUACUUGUGGGUCAUCAAUAUACAAGUGCUAUAUUUCCUAGUUCUUAAUCAUGCUUGGUUUGGAUAAAUGGGUUUUCCAUGUGGCUUGAAUUAAUCUGAUGAAUCUACAAUGUGCUUAUUUUUCAUCAACAUGUUUUACUGAUAGCAUGCGAACCCUUACUUAACCUGAUGACUAACUACCUUAUAUGUGUUGCAGGGAAACAAUGGGAAGCACUGAGGUUUACAAUCGAGGUUAGCACAUGCAUGGUCCGUUGUCUAAGAGCACAUUAUUGUGCAAUUGCAGGAACCAUUCUAAUAUUUAGGUUUUUAACAAUUUGGUCUUGCACAUGCAUGUCCUGCUGUCAGAGGUUUUGACCCAUGAAUAUGGGGAAAUGAGUUGUCCAUGAAUAUCACUCAAAUCAAGAAACUCAGAAAGAUUGUUAGGAUAAAGAAAUUAGCGACAAAAAACAACAAGAUCUUUGUCUGCACAAUGAGGAUGACAUAAGUUCACUACAAGAUGGUACUAACUAUUAUACCUUGCCUUUUUUAUUCCUUUGCCCUAUUUCCCAUAUAGAGAAGAUGUUUAUGCAUGUCCUUGUUUUCAUACCUUUCCAAAGCAGUUCACUGAUGAUUUCCUCUCAAACCACCUUUAUGGUCAGGAGGCGAGGAAGGUUUUCAUACAACACCCACGGUUCAAUAUUGAAGUGUUCCUGGAGAGGAUGAAGGACGGACGGUCAAUCAUCCACAUGCACUGGCCUAAAGUUGCAAAGACCUUCAACAUGAAUGAAGGCUCAAUAUUCGCCUUCCGCUUCAGCAGUUUUCCAGAUGAGAUGCAUCUGUCAAUAUACCGUCUAUGAUGCUAAUUUCGAAAGGUUCUACAUGUUGCAUGUGAAACUUGGUGCUGGUGCAGUUGUGUAAUGGGGUUGCUGAGUGCUGAAGCUAUAUCAUGUUGUACUCUGAUGUAUUUCAAUUAUGAAAUUUUGCUUCCUUAAUAUGGAAAUGAAAUAGAUUAUGCGCUUAAUGUGAAUGUCAACUAGAUUAAUAAAUGGAUUAUUAAUAAUAGGGCAAUUAGCCUGCUAAUUGGGUUUUGCUAUUGCAAAUGGUUAUUGAAUAAAUACCGUGGGUGAUGACCUCAGGCAACGCACACAGUUUUUAGGAAUAAACUGUGUUGGAUCAAUGAACAAUCACACACGACUUUCUCUAGAAAAUUGUUUGCGUUAGGCCACCUUGCGCAAACGUUUACCACAUAAAAACUGUGUGUGAUGGACAGCCUUUGCCACACAGUUUUUUCUACGGACCGUGUGUGAUGCAUUCAAUAACGCAAAUGAUUUAACGGGAAAAUUGUGUGUGAUGUACCUGUGAACGAAAACGUUUUCCUUGUAGCGACUGUGUGGGAUGUACAUACGAACGGAAACAUUUAGCGGGGACUGACUAUGUGGGAUGUACUUGCGACCGGAAACAGUUUCGCCUGUAUAAUUGUAUUUUUUAGCUCUACUGUACGUAUUUCCGUAUUUGAGCGCUCGCCGGUCGCACACACCUUAUUUUGCCGAGCGUGUGUGCCAGGAGGGCAUAUCCCCGACGGUUUCUGGGUCAUGUUGGAAGGACCCCCCUAUCCCCACACUCACUAGGCGACGGUUCCAAAUGUCGUCGCGAAAAGGUGUUAAAAACCGUUUGUAUAGCACCGACGCAUACUAGUGCAACCAGCUAUCUUCGUCCGCGCAAAAGCGGGUCAUAAGUGCGGUAAGAGCUGCCAUAGUCUUCGGAUUUUCCUGACCGAGGUGUCGGGCGAGCCAUUCGUCACGGACGUUGUGCUUAAAUACCGCUAGGGCUUCGGCAUCUGGACAGUCCACGAUUUGGUUCUUUUUAAUUAAGAACCGAUUCCAAAGUUUGCGAGCUGACUCUCCGGGUUGCUGGACUAUGUGACUCGGGUCAUCAUCAUCCGGUGGCCGGACAUAAGUGCCCUAAAAGUUGUCCCGAAAAGCAUCCUCUAAGUCUUCCCAACUUCCAAUUGAGUUCUCUGGGAGGUUGUUCAACCAGUGCCGUGUUGGUCCUUUCAGCUUUAGAGGGAGGUAUUUAAUGGCGUGGAGAUCAUCCCCAUGAGCCAUGUGAAUGUGGAGAAGAAAAUCUUCAAUCCAUAUGGCGGGAUUCGUCGUUCCAUCGCAUUGCUCGAUGUUCAUGGGUUUGAACCCCUCCAGAAAUUGGUGCUGCAUUACCUCAUCGGCAAAGCACAUGGGGUGUGUGGCACCUCUAUACCGGGCGACAUCGCGACGGAGUUCGGAUGACAUCUAUGUUCGGUGCUGACCCCGGACUUGGUUAGGUUUGUCGUGCCCGGCUUGAUGGUCGUCAUCUCAUGUGGGGGCACGUCCUCUUGAUCCAAAGAUGGAUCUGGUCUGGCCGGCUCUAUUGGUCAGGUCCUGACGUAGGUCGUACGUGUAGCCCGGAGCCGCUGCUUCCUUGCCUCUAUGACGAGGGGGCGCAGGCUCGUGUUCGGCAUAAUUAGCCGUUUUGUCCUGUCCACGUGGUGGUCGGUCCGGUUGAUCAGCGUGAUUGUAUUUUGAUGGUAUUGGCUCGAAGGCCUCGUCGUCGAAUUGUGGCAGUAGCAUGCGUUUGGGAUAACUCUUUGUUUGGCGCUCAAAGCCAUAUCCUUCUUCGGCGGCUAGGACCUUAGUCCAUCUGUCGUUGAGCGUAUCCUGUUCAGCUUUAAUCUGUUGUUGUUGCUUUUUCUGGCUCCGUGCAGUGGUGAUGACCCGUCGCUUGAAGCGUUCUUGUUCGAGGGGUUCCUUUGGCACCAUAAAAUUUUCGUUACCGAGGCUAACAUCCUCUUCAGAGACAGGUAAGUAGUUACUAUCUUCCGAAUCCUCGUGAUCGGCAAGUUCGUCGGGGUUGAAUUGACCCUCUUCCCUCUCGUCCUGCUCGAACGCAGGCUCAACGGGGUGGUCGGGGUCUUCGACGUUGUUCGGAGUGUCAUUAUCUCUGGUGUCGGUAAUGCUUUCCCUUCCCCCGACGCGAUCGUGAGCGGCGCCGUUGACGCCGGCGCUUUGGUGGUUCAUCGACGGGCUUAUCCUCAUCUGGAUCUUGAGUGCCAUCGUCGUCCUUCUUCUCAGGCGUGUCCACCAUGUACACAUCAUAAGUAGAAGUGGCCUUCCAACGCCCGGUGAUGGGCGGGUUUUGACCUGGUUCGGCUUCGACAUUGUCAUCCAUGCCAUCGAUGUCUUCGGAGGCAUAGUCUAGCAUGUCGGUUAAAUCCUCGACAGUUGCUACUAAAUGGGUGGUGGGUGGGACGUAAAAUUCCCUACUCUAGGCCCCCAGUUCAAGCUAGGCAUAGUUAGGAGGUGAUACUUCCGUGAUGGCGAGCGAUUUUAUUAAGUCCAGUGUUUCGUUUAAGAACGAGAGCUGGACAGGUGUCUGAGGAUCUGCGGAGCUAGGCUCAGCAAUAACCACUUGACCGAGCCUGGAGGACGCAGACCUCGAGAGUUCGGAGUUCGUGUCUAGAGGUGAGUCCGGUUUCCCGAUGACAGGGAGAGUCCCGUUUGACUCCGGGUCCGCCGAUGGCGUGGUCGCAUCUGGGUCUCCGGCUAGAGGCUCCGUGAGGGGAGAGAGUCCGGUGGGGUUCACCCUCCCGUCUUCGGAUGAAGUGGUCCGCCCCGGAUCUAAGGCCGAGGCGGACACGAGCGUCGACCCCUGGACGGGAUUUGAUAGUAGAUCCGAAGGGCCUCCUUCGUGUGGGUGGGGAGCGGCGGCCGAGGCCGUGAACCCCUCGAAGAUCAGGUCUCCUCGGAUAUCAGCGAUGUAGUUUAGACUUCCAAACCUGAUCUGGUGACCAGGGGCGUAGCUGUCGACCUGCUCAAGGUGAUCGGUCAAGUUCGCACGUAGCACGAAGCCGCCAAACACAAAGAGUUGACCAGGGAGAAAGGUCUUCCCAGAAACGGCGUCAUCGUCGAUGACGGGGCGAGCCAUUGAUUCUUCUAUCGACAACACAACAGAACUCUCAAUGAAAGCACCAAUGUCGGUGUCAAAACCGGCAGAUCUCGGGUAGGGGGUCCCAAGUUAUGUGUCUGAGGAUCAAUGGUAACAAGGGACAAUAGGGACACGAUGUUUACCCAGGUUCGGGCCCUCUUAAAGGAGGUAAAACACUACGUCCUGCUUGAUUAUAUUCGGUGUGUAUAAGAGUUACAAGAGUUGAUCUACCUCGAGAUCGUAAUGGCUAAACCCUAGCUGUCUAGCCUAUGAAUCUUUGUCCUUUCUACGGACCUAACCCUCCGGUUUAUAUACACAUCGGAGGGGCCUAGGGUUGUACAGAGUCGGUUUGCAGAGGAAGGAAAUAGUACAUCCGGACACCAAACUUGCCGUCCACUCACAUAGGAGUCCUACCCGGACAAGGGGGAUGAUCUUCUGCUUUGUUGUGGAGAAGAUCAUCCCCCUUGUCGUGGAGAAUAUAGACCGGACACCCGAGGACCGGACACCCGAGGACCCGCUAAUCCAACACUCCCUCAAUUGUCGUGGAGAACCUCCAUACCUCUAUUCACUACCUCUGGGGGAAACCCUAUAUCAGUCAAUCAGAUGACGACGACGCUCUUGUGUGGCUCCACUCUUGGGGGCGUUAUUUUUGGAUCUGUGCAUUGGCUUGAGGGACCAGUGGAUGGUUUCAAAAGUGAAGCGGCGUUUCAUGUGACGAAUCGACGAAGUGGCACUUUAGGGUUUCGAUGAUAGAUGCGUGAUGAUGGAUGCGCGUAGGGAGGUGGCAUUGACCGGUGUCGUGGUGGCAUCAAUGGCAUGCCUGGCAAGGUCGGUGCGUCGAUACUUGCUCUGAAGUGGAUCGGUGGAAGAAGGCGGCAGCGGCCUCUGCAGUGUGCGCAUGCGGUGCCCGCUGAGAGUGCGCUGGACCGGUGUGUGCCCAAACCCUACGAUUGCGGCUUGACUGAGGCCUCCUGUUUUAAAUGUUGGGCUUUGGUGUGAUGUCUGGGCACGCGGCCUGGACAAUACACACCCCAUCAUCAAGUUGAUUGGAUUAGGAAGGGAUAUUGUCAAGAUGAUGGCUUCAGAAUUAUUGAUGUAUUACUUUGUACAGUUUUGCUAAGUCUCAGUCGACUGAGACUGAGACUUCGUUAUGUCUUAGUCGAUGUUAUAUCCAUUUGAUCUUGCAUGGAGAUUCAUACAAAAAAUUUCUUUUUAUUUUCUUCUUCUUAUAUACUAUGUCAUUUGACUGAGACUUGAUUCAGUCUCGGUCGACCUAGACCUAGUCACAUCUUAUUUUUGUGAGGUAUUGAUGAAUAAUUAAUAAAAUGGAUGUAUGUACCACCCAGAUGCAGAGGCCGAAAGUCGACCUCCUUUUCGGAAAAAUAUCAACCUUCAAAAUAAUAGACUUGUGAAGAGUGAUGCCGAUAUAAAGCCCGACGAAACAGGCUCGAAGCUCGCCUUCGUUAACACCGGUACUUGCCCCAACAAAUAAAAUCCCAUGAAGCGAUGAUGACUUCUUCUGGAGAGCACCCUUGAUUGAUUUAGGUCCGGCUUACGAGAUUUCGGACGUCCGAACGGUCUGACCCGAUUCAGUGACCCGCAUCAGAGGCCCAAAAAUGAUCGGACGGCACGACCUGAACAUUCGCGGACGAUUUGAUGAUUCGACGUUGGAGAUGCCCCCCUGAUGAUGUGCAGUUAUCCCGAAUGCCUCCGUGCGGCAGAUGCUACUUGCGUGGUGAAUGUUUCGAAGAGCAAUGGCUCAUCUCUUCACGAUUCAAAAUGAGGCGGAGCUGAGGCGCCUGCGCGGCGACUCGUGGGCGACGGGCGUGCGACGGUCGGACCCCCCCUCGCCGGCGCUCCGACCGUCCCUCCGGCAGGCUCGGACUCCUCGCCCCGGCCUCCUCGCGGUGCUCCCAUGGGGACCCCCUNNNNNNNNNNNNNNNNNNNNNNNNNNNNNNNNNNNNNNNNNNNNNNNNNNNNNNNNNNNNNNNNNNNNNNNNNNNNNNNNNNNNNNNNNNNNNNNNNNNNNNNNNNNNNNNNNNNNNNNNNNNNNNNNNNNNNNNNNNNNNNNNNNNNNNNNNNNNNNNNNNNNNNNNNNNNNNNNNNNNNNNNNNNNNNNNNNNNNNNNNNNNNNNNNNNNNNNNNNNNNNNNNNNNNNNNNNGACAGCGAGCGCUGGGCCAAUUGGGCGGAGGAGGAGGACCUGGCCGAUGCGGCUGCGGCGGGUCUCCCUCUGCGAGGCCGUCGAUUUGGUGCUCGCCUGGCUGAGCUCAUCUCCGGUGAGCUGCUCCCCCUCUCUCAUCCGAGCGUCCCCCCUCCCUGCGCUGGUGCCACCCCGCCCCUCCCAUUCCCCACCUUCCCCGCCGCCGCCGCAGUUCGGCCCUCCGGCUGGUCGGCGCGGUCGCGGGGCCCGAGCCCGUGCUUGGGGGGUGGUCGGGAGGGCAGACCUCGGUCGUGCGGCAGUUUCUUGGCGUCGGGACGCUCCCUCGUCGUCGAGCUUGCUGCCCCCGCUUCCUUCGGUGGCUCCCUCUACGUCGGGGACGGCUUCGACCUCGCGUGGCUUGCCCAAAUUCCGCGCCUUUCUCCCCUCUCCAGCUCCGGCCGGCCCGGCUGCCGGCGUCCCGCGGGCGGAGCUGGCACCACGCUGCCACCCCCUGGCCGUACGAGGGGAAACCCUUCCCUCCCAUAGUGAUCCAUCGCGUAAUGGGUUGGGCCGCCUGGAGCGCCUUGGGCCUCUGGUGUCGGGGGGCUUUCCUCCUCUGGGCCGUGGGAUGGGCCUGGGCCUCGCCUCGUCUCCUCCUGGAGGCCUGGUCGAUCCUGCACAGGGGCCCGAGUCCUCCUCGUCUCUAGGGAAAGUGUGCACCCCUACCCUGCAUUCCUCCCCCCACCCCGCGCCCUCCCAUCCUGCGCCGCCCCCUGUUCCCCCUCCCGUGCCUGCGCCGUCCUUGCUCGUCGCUCGGACCCCGAUGCCACACGACGCGGGUGACAGUGCCCCUCGCCCGAAGCGCCGUGCCGACGAGCCGGCGGACCGUCGCCCGACCGACUCCUGGCGCCCCUCCCUGGAGGCCUCGCGGAGGGAAUCCGAGCUCCGCUCCGAGUUCGUGUCACGAGGCUUUGCCCCGACCUCGGACCCCUCAGGGCGGGAGGACAGGCCGCGUAACCGCUCGCCGGACCACUGGCGGAGCCGUGGGCGUGAGCGGGACCGCCGUUCCCCCCCUCGUCGCUCCCCUCCCCACCGGUCACAGUCUCCGGCUCGCUCUGGUCGCGCGGAGCAGUCCCCGCCUCGCCGGUACAACCCGCCACAGCGUCAUAUGCAGUUCCCUCCCCCGGGUCCCGGUGCUCCCAACCCCCGGAGCGCUUUCGCGAAGAAGAAGAAGAAGAAGGCCGGUCAGCGUUUUGGCGGUGGGGCUGGACAAGCCUCUUCUGUCACCAACCCGACGCCGGCACCCCCGGCCCCUCCGUCGAAGUCCAUUUCCGGCACCAUUUCCUGCUUCAAUUGUGGCAAAGAGGGUCACUGCCAGGUCGAUUGCAAGGACCCCCUGGCUUGUUUCAAGUGCAAGGGCACGGACCACCCCGUGAUUCUUUGCCCGCUUCAGCCGGAGGAGGGGGAGCUGAUGCUUUACGGCCAUGCUCUGGACGAUCUUGGAUUCUUCCAGAUGGAUCUGCCCGCGGUCGCGGCCGUGCCGUCCCUGACCGCUCUCAUCUCGGUCUUGGAAGGCCGGUCGGCUUCCCCGGCUAUCAUCACGGAGGAGCUCCGUCACCUCUUCUGCCCUGACUGGGACUGGGAGGUCGCUUCGAUCUCCGAUCACGAGUUUACCGCGGUGUUUCCGGAUCCUAUCAGCUUGCGCUACGGCACCCACAGUGAUCAGCUCACUUUAGCUCUCAACAAGCUCAUCGUCAGCAUCUCUAUGUCGUUGGUGGACCCUAUAGCGGUGGCCUUUCUCUCGGAGGUAUGGAUUCAAAUCCGUGGGCUACCGCCGAUUGCCAAGAAGGAGCGCACCAUUCGGAACAUGUCCAGGCUCCUUGGCAAGAUCGUGGAGGUUGAUGGCUCCUCUCUCGUCCGCGGACCGGCUGUUCAUGUCAAGAUCAAGACCCCCGACCCGACUAAGCUGCAGACAACAGUCCGUAUGUUCUUCGGAGAUGCUGGAUACGACCUCAAGAUCUCGGUGGAUGGGGGCGUUCCGGGCUCCUCCCAACCAGCGACGGAUGAUGCGGCUCCCGGGACCGAUGGCGACUUGGGUGGUGGCUCACGCUCCCCUGGUGGCGGUCGGUCACCGCGUCAGCGCAGCCGCUCCCCAAGCUCCAGCGGGGAUGAUGAUGACUCCCCAGAGCCACAUGCGCCGCCUCUGCCGGCGAACAAGACAACGACCGAAGAGCUCUCUAUGGCCCAUGAUGCUACUGCCCAAGAUCCGAUGGAUGAUGCUGAUGCUCGUGCCCUCAACGCCAUGCUCGAGGUUGAUUCACUGCUUCGCCCCAGCGCGGCCCUCUCCUUGCUCCUUGGCACUCCGAUGGCCGCUUCGGAGUCGGAGACGGUCAGCGGUGCGAGCGACGUCAGCCCGGAGGUAUGCCCCCUCCUCCCCGCGUCUGGAUUCACCCACCCUCGCCCAGGCACCAUCGCCACCAUCUUCGCCAUGGGCUGGGGCGGGGGAGGUCUCUCCUGUGACCGGGACUAGGUAGGUCCACCCCCCGGUGCCUCCUCGUCCUCCGAAGGGCAAGGGCCGGCCGCGUUCGGCUUCUUCUCCGGUGACGAUCACUCGGAAGAGCGCACGGAUCGACUUGGCUGCACGGGCGACUGGUGCGUCCCCCAACGCAAUCGAGAAGGCCGCUCGCCGGGCUGCGGCCCGCAACUUGGACUCAGGUCCNNNNNNNNNNNNNNNNNNNNNNNNNNNNNNNNNNNNNNNNNNNNNNNNNNNNNNNNNNNNNNNNNNNNNNNNNNNNNNNNNNNNNNNNNNNNNNNNNNNNNNNNNNNNNNNNNNNNNNNNNNNNNNNNNNNNNNNNNNNNNNNNNNNNNNNNNNNNNNNNNNNNNNNNNNNNNNNNNNNNNNNNNNNNNNNNNNNNNNNNNNNNNNNNNNNNNNNNNNNNNNNNNNAUAGAUGAAACAUCUGAUGGGGGGAUUGUUGGGGAACGUAGUAAUUUCAAAAAAAAUCCUACGCACACACAGGAUCAUGGUGAUGCAUAGCAACGAGAGGGGAGAGUGUGUCCACGUACCCUCGUAGACCGAAAGCGGAAGCAUUAGCACAACGCGGUUGAUGUAGUCGUACGUCUUCACGAUCCGACCGAUCCAAGUACCGAACGCACGACACCUCCGAGUUCAGCACACGUUCAACUCGAUGACGUCCCGCGAGCUCCGAUCCAGCAAAGCUUCGCCGGAGAGUUUCGUCAGCGCGACGGCGUGAUGACGGUGAUGAUGAUGCUACCGACACAGGGCUUCACCUAAGCACCGCAACAAUAUGAUCGAGGAGGAUUAUGGUGGAAGGGGGCACCGCACACGGCUGGGAGAGAUCAACAAAUCAACUUGUGUGUCUAGAGGUGCCCCCUGCCCCCGUAUAUAAAGGAGCAAGGGGGGAGGCCAGCCGGCCCCUGUAGGCGCGCCAGGAGGAGGAGUCCUCCUCCUAGUAGGAGUAGGACUCCCCUCUUUCCUACUCCUACUAGGAGGGGGAAAGGAAGGGGGAGAGGGAGAAGGAAAGGGGGGCGUAGCCCCCCUCUCCUAGUCCAAUUCGGACCAGAGGGGGAGGGGCGCGCGGCCAGCCCUAGGCCAGCCCUCUCUCUCUCCACUAAGGCCCAUAAGGCCCACUAUUUCUCCCGGGGGGAUUCUGGUAACCCUCCGGCACUCCGGUUUUCUCCGAAACCACCCGGAACACUUCCGGUGUCCGAAUAUAGUCGUCCAAUAUAUGGAUCUUUACGUCUCGACCAUUUCGAGACUCCUCGUCAUGUUUGUGAUCAUAUCCGGGACUCUGAUCUACCUUCGGUACAUCAAAACACAAAAACUCAUAAUACCGAUCGUCACCGAACUUUAAGCGUGCGGACCCUACGGGUUCGAGAACUAUGUAGACAUGACCGAGACACGUCUCCGGUCAAUAACCAAUAGCGGAACCUGGAUGCUCAUAUAGGCUCCCACAUAUUCUUCGAAGAUCUUUAUCGGUCAAACCACAUAACAACAUACGUUGUUCCCUUUGUCAUCGGUAUGUUACUUACCCGAGAUUCGAUCGUUGGUAUCUCAAUACCUAGCUCAAUCUCGUUACCGGCAAGUCUCUUUACUCAUUACGUAAUGCAUCAUCCCGCAACUAACUCAUUAGUCAUAUUGCUUCUAAGGCUUAUUGUGAUGUGCAUUACCGAGAGGGCCCAGAGAUACCUCUCCAACAGUCAGAGUGACAAAUCCUAAUCUUGAUCUAUGCCAACUCAACAAGUACCAUCAGAGACACCUGUAGAUCACCUUUAUAAUCACCCAGUUACCUUGUGAAGUUUGGUAGCACACAAAGUGUUCCUCCGGUAAUCGGGAGUUGCAUAAUCUCAUAGUCAUAGGAACAUGUAUAAGUCAUGAAGAAAGCAAUAGAAGUAAACUAAACGAUCAAGUGCUAAGCUAACGGAAUGGGUCAAGUCAAUCACAUCAUUCUCCUAAUGAUGUGAGCCCAUUAAUCAAAUGACAACUCAUGUCUAUGGUUAGGAAACUUAACCAUCUUUGAUUAACGAGCUAGUCAAGUAGAGGCAUACUAGUGACAUUAUGUUUGUCUAUGUAUUCACACAUGUAUUAUGUUUCCGGUUAAUACAAUUCUAGCAUGAAUAAUAAACAUUUAUCAUGAUAUGAGGAAAUAAAUAAUAACUUUAUUAUUGCCUCUAGGGCAUAUUUCCUUCAGUCUCCCACUUGCACUAGUCAAUAAUCUAGAUUACACAGUAAUGAUUCUAACACCCAUGGAGUUUUGGUGCUGAUCAUGUUUUGCUCGUGGAAGAGGCUUAGUCACCGGGUCUGCAACAUUCGGAUCCGUAUGUAUCUUGCAAAUCUCUAUGUCUCCCACCUGGACUUGAUCCCGGAUGGAAUUGAAGCAUCUCUUGAUGUGCUUGGUUCUCUUGUGAAAUCUGGAUUCCUUUGCCAAGGCAACUGCACCAGUAUUGUCACAAAAGAUUUUCAUUGGUCCCGAUGCACUAGGUAUGACACCUAGAUCAGAUAUGAACUCCUUCAUCCAGACUCCUUCAUUUGCUGCUUCCGAAGCAGCUAUGUACUCCGCUUCACACGUAGAUCCCGCCACGACGCUUUGUUUAGAACUGCACCAACUGACAGCUCCACCGUUCAAUGUAAACACGUAUCCGGUUUGCGAUUUAGAAUCGUCUGGAUCAGUGUCAAAGCUUGCAUCGACGUAACCAUUUACGAGUAGCUCUUUGUCACCUCCAUAAACGAGAAACAUAUCCUUAGUCCUUUUCAGGUAUUUCAGGAUGUUCUUGACCGCUGUCCAGUGAUACACUCCUGGAUUACUUUGGUACCUCCCUGCUAAGCUAAUAGCAAGGCACACACCAGGUCUGGUACACAGCAUUGCAUACAUGAUAGAGCCUAUGGCUGAAGCAUAGGGAACAUCUUUCAUUUUCUCUCUAUCUUCUGCAGUGGUCGGGCAUUGAGUCUCACUCAACUUCACAACUUGUAACACGGGCAAGAACCCUUUCUUUGCUUGAUCCAUUUUGAACUUUUUCAAAACUUUGUCAAGGUAUGUGGUUUGUGAAAGCCCUAUCAAGCGUCUUGAUCUAUCUCUAUAGAUCUUGAUGCCCAAUAUGUAAGCAGCUUCACCGAGGUCUUUCAUUGAAAAACUUUUAUUCAAGUAUCCUUUUAUGCUAUCCAGAAAUUCUAUAUCAUUUCCAAUCAGCGAUAUGUCAUCCACAUAUAAUAUCAGAAAUGCUACAGAGCUCCCACUCACUUUCUUGUAAAUACAGGCUUCUCCAAAAGUCUGUAUAAAUCCAUAUGCUUUGAUCACACUAUCAAAACGUUUAUUCCAACUCCAAGAGGCUUGCACCAGUCCAUAAAUGGAUCGCUGGAGCUUGCACACUUUGUUAGCUCCCUUUGGAUCGACAAAACCUUCCGGUUGCAUCAUUGCAACUCUUCUUCCAGAAAUCCAUUCAGGAAUGCAGUUUUGACAUCCAUUUGCCAAAUUUCAUAAUUAUAAAAUGCGGCAAUUGCUAACAUGAUUCGGACAUACUUAAGCAUCGCUACGGGUGAGAAAGUCUCAUCGUAGUCAACCCCUUGAACUUGUCAAAAACCUUUCGCAACAAGUCGAGCUUUGUAGACAGUAACAUUACCGUCAGCCUCAGUCUUCUUCUUGAAGAUCCAUUUAUUCUCUAUGGCUUGCCGAUCAUCGGGCAAGUCAACCAAAGUCCACACUUUGUUCUCAUACAUGGAUCCCAUCUCAGAUUUCAUGGCCUCAAGCCAUUUUGCGGAAUCUGGGCUCACCAUCGCUUCUUCAUAGUUUGUAGGUUCGCCUUGGUCAAGUAACAUGACCUCUGGAAUAGGAUUACCGUACCACUCUAGUGUGGAUCUUACUCUGGUUGACCUACGAGGUUCAGUAGUAACUUGAUCUGAAGUUAUAUGAUCAUCAUCAUUAGCUUCCUCACUAAUUGGUGUAGGAGUCACAGGAAUAGAUUUCUGUGAUGAACUACUUUCCAAUAAGGGAGCGGGUACAGUUACCUCAUCAAGUUCUACUUUCCUCCCACUCACUUCUUUCGAGAGAAACUCCUUCUGUAGAAAGGAUCCAUUCUUAGCAACGAAUGUCUUGCCUUCAGAUCUGUGAUAGAAGGUGUACCCAACAGUUUCCUUUGGGUAUCCUAUGAAGACACAUUUCUCCGAUUUGGGUUCGAGCUUAUCAGGCUGAAGCUUUUUCACAUAAGCAUCGCAGCCCCAAACUUCAAGAAACGACAACUUUGGUUUCUUGCCAAACCAUAGUUCAUAAGGCAUCAUCUCAACGGAUUUUGAUGGUGCCCUAUUUAACGUGAAUGCAGUCGUAUCUAAAGCAUAACCCCAAAACGAUAGCGGUAAAUCAGUAAGAGACAUCAUAGAUCGCACCAUAUCUAGUAAAGUACGAUUACGACGUUCGGACAAACCAUUACGUUGUGGUGUUCCGGGUGGCGUGAGUUGCGAAACUAUUCCGCAUUGUUUCAAAUGUAGACCAAACUCGUAACUCAAAUAUUCUCCUCCACGAUCAGAUCAUAGAAACUUUAUUUUCUUGUUACGAUGAUUUUCCACUUCACUCUGAAAUUCUUUGAACUUUUCAAAUGUUUCAGACUUAUGUUUCAUUAAGUAGAUAUACCCAUAUUUGCUCAAAUCAUCUGUGAAGGUGAGAAAAUAACGAUACCCGCCGCGAGCCUCAAUAUUCAUCGGACCACAUACAUCAGUAUCUAUGAUUUUCAACAAAUCUGUUGCUCGCUCCAUUGUUCCGGAGAACGGCGUUUUAGUCAUCUUGCCCAUGAUGCAUGGUUCGCAAGUACCAAGUGAUUCAUAAUCAAGUGGUUCCAAAAGUCCAUCAGUAUGGAGUUUCUUCAUGCGCUUUACACCAAUAUGACCCAAACGGCAGUGACACAAAUAAGUUGCACUAUCAUUAUCACUACUAUCGAGAUUCAUCACAAAUAGACCACUCUUCAAGGGUGCAUGACCAUAAAAGAUAUUACUCAUAUAAAUAGAACAACCAUUAUUCUCAGAUUUAAAUGAAUAACCGUCUCGCAUCAAACAAGAUCCAGAUAUAAUGUUCAUGCUUAACGCUGGCACCAAAUAACAAUUAUUUAGGUCUAAAACUAAUCCCGAAGGUAGAUGUAGAGGUAGCGUGCCGACGGCGAUCACAUCGACUUUGGAACCAUUUCCCACGCGCAUCGUCACCUCAUCCUUAGCCAGUCUUCACUUAAUCCAUAGUCCCUGUUUCGAGUUGCAAAUAUUAGCAACAAAACCAGUAUCAAAUCCCCAGGUGCUACUGCGAGCUGUAGUAAGGUACACAUCAAUAACAUGUAUAUCACAUAUACCUUUGUUCACCUUGCCAUCCUUCUUAUCCGCCAAAUACUUGGGGCAGUUCCGCUUCCAGUGACCAGUCUGUUUGUAGUAGAAGCACUCAGUCUCAGGCUUAGGUCCAGACUUGGGUUUCUUCUCUUGAGCAGCAACUUGUUUGCUGUUCUUCUUGAAGUUCCCCUUCUUCUUCCCUUUACCCUUUUUCUUGAAACGGGUGGUCUUGUUGACCAUCAACACUUGAUGCUCCUUCUUGAUUUCUACCUCCGCAGCCUUUAGCAUUGCGAAGAGCUCGGGAAUUGUCUUAUCCAUCCCUUGCAUAUUAUAGUUCAUCACGAAGCUCUUGUAGCUUGGUGGCAGUGAUUGAAGAAUUCUGUCAAUGACACUAUCAUCCGGAAGAUUAACUCCCAGUUGAAUCAAGUGAUUGUUAUACCCAGACAUUUUGAGUAUAUGUUCACUGACAGAACUAUUCUCCUCCAUCUUGCAGCUGUAGAACUUAUUGGAGACUUCAUAUCUCUCAAUGCGGGCAUUUGCUUAAAAUAUCAGCUUCAACUCCUGGAACAUCUCAUAUGCUCCAUGACGUUCAAAACGUCGUUGAAGCCCCGGUUCUAAGCCGUAAAGCAUGGCACACUGAACUAUCGAGUAGUCAUCAGCUUUGCUCUGCCAAACGUUCUUAACGUCGUCAGUUGCAUCUGCAGCAGGCCUGGCACCCAGCGGUGCUUCCAGGACGUAAUUCUUCUGUGCAACAAUGAGGAUAAUCCUCAAGUUACGGACCAAGUCCGUGUAAUUGCUACCAUCAUCUUUCAACUUUGCUUUCUCAAGGAACGCAUUAAAAUUCAACGGAACAACAGCAUGGGCCAUCUAUCUACAACAACAUAGACAAGCAAAAUACUAUCAGGUACUAAGUUCAUGAUAAAUUUAAGUUCAAUUAAUCAUAUUACUUAAGAACUCCCACUUAGAUAGACAUCCCUCUAAUCAUCUAAGUGAUCACGUGAUCCAUAUCAACUAAACCAUAACCGAUCAUCACGUGAAAUGGAGUAGUUUUCAAUGGUGAACAUCACUAUGUUGAUCAUAUCUACUAUAUGAUUCACGCUCGACCUUUCGGUCUUAGUGUUCCGAGGCCAUAUCUGCAUAUGCUAGGCUCGUCAAGUUUAACCCGAGUAUUCUGCGUAUAUAAAACUGUCUUACACCCAUUGUAGAUGAACGUUGAGCUUAUCACACCCGAUCAUCACGUGGUGUCUCGGCACGACGAACUUUGGCAACAGUGCAUACUCAGGGAGAACACUUUCACUUUGAAUUUUAGUGAGAGAUCAUCUUAUAAUGCUACCGUCAAACAAAGCAGAAUAAGAUGCAUAAAGUAUAAACAUCACAUGCAAUCAAUAUAAGUGAUAUGAUAUGGCCAUCAUCAUCUUGUGCCUUUGAUCUCCAUCUCCAAAGCACCGUCAUGAUCACCAUCGUCACCGGCGCGACACCUUGAUCUCCAUCGUAGCAUCGUUAUCGUCUCGCCAACUAUUGCUUCUACGACUAUAGCUACCGCUUGGUGAUAAAGUAAAGCAAUUACAGGGCGAUUGCAUUGCAUACAAUAAAGCGACAACCAUAUGGCUCCUGCCAGUUGCCGAUAACUCCGUUACGAAACAUGAUCAUCUCAUACAAUAAAUAUAGCAUCAUGUUUUGACCAUAUCACAUCACAACAUGCCCUGCAAAAACAAGUUAGACGUCCUCUACUUUGUUGUUGCAAGUUUUACGUGGCUGCUACGGGCUGAGCAAGAACCGUUCUUACCUACGCAUCAAAACCACAACGAUAGUUCGUCAAGUUAGUGAUGUUUUAACCUUCUCAAGGACCGGGCGUAGCCACACUCGGUUCAACUAAAGUUGGAGAAACUGACAUCCGCCAGCCACCUAUGUGCAAAGCACGUCGGUAGAACCAGUCUCGCGUAAGCGUACGCGUAAUGUCGGUCCGGGCCGCUUCAUCCAACAAUACCGCCGAACCAAAGUAUGACAUGCUGGUAAGCAGUAUGACUUGUAUCGCCCACAACUCACUUGUGUUCUACUCGUGCAUAUUACAUCUACGCAUAAACCAGGCUCGGAUACCACUGUUGGGGAACGUAGUAAUUUCAAAAAAAUCCUACGCACACACAGGAUCAUGGUGAUGCAUAGCAACGAGAGGGGAGAGUGUGUCCACGUACCCUCGUAGACCGAAAGCGGAAGCAUUAGCACAACGCGGUUGAUGUAGUCGUACGUCUUCACGAUCCGACCGAUCCAAGUACCGAACGCACGGCACCUCCGAGUUCAGCACACAUUCAACUCGAUGACGUCCCGCGAGCUUCGAUCCAGCAAAGCUUCGCCAGAGAGUUUUAUCAGCACGACGGCGUGAUGACGGUGAUGAUGAUGCUACCGACGCAGGGCUUCGCCUAAGCACCGCUACGAUAUGAUCGAGGAGGAUUAUGGUGGAGGGGGGCACCGCACACGGCUGGGAGAGAUCAACAGAUCAACUUGUGUGUCUAGAGGUGCCCCUGCCCCCGUAUAUAAAGGAGCAAGGGGGAGGCCGGCCGGCCCCUCUAGGCGCGCCAGGAGGAGGAGUCCUCCUCCUAGUAGGAGUAGGACUCCCCUCUUUCCUACUCCUACUAGGAGGGGGAAGGAAGGGGGAGAGGGAGAAGGAAAGGGGGGCGGCGCCCCCCUCUCCUAGUCCAAUUUGGACCAGAGGGGGAGGGGCGCGUGGCCUGCCCUAGGCCAGCCCUCUCUCUCUCUCCACUAAGGCCCAUAAGGCCCACUAUUUCUCCCGGGGGGGUUCCGGUAACCCUCCGGCACUCCGGUUUUCUCCGAAACCACCCGGAACACUUCCGGUGUCCGAAUAUAGUCGCCCAAUAUAUCAAUCUUUAUGUCUCGACCAUUUCGAGACUCCUCGUCAUGUCCGUGAUCAUAUCCGGGACUCCGAACAACCUUCGGUACAUCAAAACACAAAAACUCAUAAUACCGAUCGUUACAGAACUUUAAGCGUGCGGACCCUACGGGUUCGAGAACUAUGUAGACAUGACCGAGACACGUCUCCGGUCAAUAACCAAUAACGGAACCUGGAUGCUCAUAUUGGCUCCCACAUAUUCUUUGAAGAUCUUUAUCGGUCAAACCGGAUAACAACAUAUGUUGUUCCCUUUGUCAUCGGUAUGUUACUUGCCCGAGAUUCGAUCGUCGGUAUCUCAAUACCUAGCUCAAUUUUGUUACCGGCAAGUCUCUUUACUCGUUACGUAAUGCAUCAUCCCUCAACUAACUCAUUAGUCACAUUGCUUGCAAGGCUUAUUGUGAUGUGCAUUACCGAGAGGGCCCAGAGAUACCUCUCCGACAGUCGGAGUGACAAAUCCUAAUCUCUAUUUAUGCCAACUCAACAAGUACCAUCGGAGACACCUGUAGAGCACCUUUUUAAUCACCCAGUUACGUUGUGACGUUUGGUAGCACACAAAGUGUUCCUCCGGUAAACGGGAGUUGCAUAAUCUCAUAGUCAUAGGAACAUGUAUAAGUCAUGAAGAAAGCAAUAGCAGUAAACUAAACGGUCAAGUGCUAAGCUAAUGGAAUGGGUCAAGUCAAUCACACCAUUCUCCUAAUGAUGUGAUCCCGUUAAUCAAAUGACAACUCAUGUCUAUGGUUAGGAAACUUAACCAUCUUUGAUUAAUGAGCUAGUCAAGUAGAGGCAUACUAGUGACAUUAUGUUUGUCUAUGUAUUCACACAUGUAUUAUGUUUCCGGUUAAUACAAUUCUAGCAUGAAUAAUAAACAUUUAUCAUGAUAUGAGGAAAUAAAUAAUAACUUUAUUAUUGCCUCUAGGGCAUAUUUCCUUCAGGGAUUCCGGCUGAGGAGGAACCGAUGGACUCCUUCUCAGCGCUUGCUACCGUUCCCUUAGGCCGUCUGACCCUUCUUGCCAAUGACUCUGCGAUUGUCUUCCGUGGUGAGAAGGGCCCCGCCCUCGAACAGAUCGCUGCCAUCAAGGCUAAGGAGAUCCUUGAUGGCCACCUUGCAGCCGCUAGGGCUCGCGAGGCUGCCGCGGCUGAGGCUGCCGUGACCCCCAGCACACAGCCCGUGGGGAGGGGGGAUAGGCCGGCAGCUGCCCUGGUAGAGGUUCGGGGCCGUACUCGUUCUCGCAUGGCUCAGCUUCGUCGGGCUCUUAGCGCGUCCAUUGCGGUGGGGUCCAGCAUGGACCCCCUACAGGAGUAGUAUGCGUGCACUUUUCUGGAACCUUCGCGGCUUUGGCCAUGAUGGCCGGCGACGCCAAUUAGUGGACUACAUGCGCGAGGAAAAUAUUGAUAUAGUGGCGAUCCAAGAAACGAUGAGGACCGAGUUCUCUCUCUCUCAGAACUCGAUCGGUUGAGCCGACACUUGUUUGCAUGGCACUGGUUGCCAUCUAGUGGAGUGGCGGGACACUCCGGUGGCAUCCUUCUCGGGGUGAAGGAUGCCACCUUUGAGGUUGGCUCCAUGGACCGCGGAGAUUUCUUCGUGAGUAUGGAAGUAUGGGAGAGGGCAGUUAACUUCAAAUGGGAAGUGAUUGUCGUCUAUGGCCCGACUGACCACAGUCGCUCCACCGCGUUCCUCGCUGAGUUGCAUGCCAAGAUUAGGGCAGCUACUCUCCUAGUGAUCAUUGGGGGUGACUUCAAUCUUCUUCGUUCCGUAGCUGACAAGAAUAAUGGCCGGGUUGACCAGUCAGGCAUGCAAUGCUUUAAUGACUGGAUUGCCGACCUCGAGCUCCGGGAAUUAGAUAUGGUCGGAGCUCGUUUCACCUGGACUAAUAAACAGGUGAACCCGACCCGAAGUGUUCUGGACCGGGUAUUUGUAUCCCCUGAAUGGGAACUUCGGUUCCCCUUAGCUACUCUCUAGGCCAUCACAAGGAUUGGAUCCGACCAUGUACCCCUCUUACUAUCAUCCAUGGAUGAGCGGCCUCGACCGCCCCCUCGCUUUCGGUUUGAGGUGUUCCGGCUUCGCCAUCCGGGAUUCAUUGCGGCUGUUCGAGACCAUUGGAUUGCGGCCCGUGCUGAACCUCACCGGACCAUGUCAGUCAUGGACGACUGGCAUCACUUGGCCAAACGCUCCAGGCAAUUUAUGAAGGGCUGGGGCGCAAAUAUUGGGCGGGACCUGCGGGUCCAGAAGCAGGCUCUACUCAUGGAGAUCCGGGCACUUGACAUACGCGUUGACGGCCCAGGUCUGUCUUCUGAGGAAUGGUCCCUUAGGUACAGCCUGGAAGAUACCCUUACUGACAUCUAUGCCAAAGAAGAAGAUACGGGCGCCAGCGCGGCUCUUUUAAUUGGAUCAUCUUUGGCGAUGCCAACACGGCUUAUUUUCAGGCCAUUGCCAAUGGCCGUAGGCGACGAUGCACCAUCCCCAUCCUUUGGGAUGGGGACCGGUUGCUACAGGACCCGGACAAGAUCCGGGCUCAUGUUGAUGGGUUCUAUAUAACUCUGUUUUCCACUCGUCCGCGAGGGGGCCUUGCCCUAGCUGAGAACUUUUGGGACGAGCAUCUCCGCAUCUCUCCCGAAGAGAACCAAUCCCUCCUUAACCCCUUUGAAGAAUUAGAGGUGGAGGCCAUCGUCAAGUCCAUGAACCCGGCCUCUGCCCCGGGUCCGGACGGCCUCCCGGUCCGGUUUUUUCAGAUUUUCUGGCCCACCGUCAAGGGCGAGAUUAUGGCGUUAUUCCGGGAGAUUUCGAGGGGGACCCUUGAUGUAUCCCACCUUAACUAUGGGAUCAUAUCUCUGAUCCCCAAAGUCCAGGGGGCAUCGUAUAUUCGACAGUUCCGCCCGAUCACGGUCAUUAACGUGAUCUUUAGGAUUCUAGCCAAGGGGUACGCCACUAGGGCGGCUCUCUUGGCUCCAAGGAUCCAUCACCCGAACCAAUCGGCGUUCAUGAAGGGUCGAUUCAUUCUCGACGGGGUUCUAGUGCUUUACGAGAUCCUCCACAAGGUCAAGAGAAAGCACCUCCGUGCGGUUUUCUUCAAGAUUGAUUUCCAUAAGGCCUAUGAUACGGUCCACUGGUUCUUUCUCCGUGAGGUCAUGGAGAAGCGUGGGUUUGACCCAUAUUGGAUAGCUCGGGUGAUGCAGUUGGUUAUGUCUGGCCGCACUGCAGUGAACAUCAACGGGGAAGUUGGCUCCUACUUCCGCACUGCCCAGGGGGUGCGCCAAGGCGACCCCCUGUCCCCCUUCCUGUUUAACAUGAUUGUGGAUGUGCUUGCCACAAUCUUGGACAAAGCUCGGCGGGCUGGCCAUAUCAAGGGGAUCCGCCCGCACCUAGUCGGUGACGGGGGUAUUACUCAUCUCCAAUAUGCAGAUGACACCAUCCUCAUGGUUGAAGGCUCGGACACUGACAUCCAAAAUCUGAAGUUUUUACUCUUGUGUUUUCAAGAGAUGUCGGGCCUGACAAUAAACUUUGCCAAAAGCGAAGUAAUGGUGCUAGGCUACUCAGGGGAGGAAUCCCGACGCAUAGCCAAUAUGCUGAACUACCGUCUAGGCUCGUUUCCGACCUCCUACCUUGGCCUCCCGAUUAGCGAUUCCCGCCUCCAGGCGAAGGAUCUUCGCCCCACGGUGUCCAAGCUUCAGCAUAGGGUCGAGCCAUGGCACGGGCGGUGGCUAUCCAAGGCGGCCCGGGUCGUGUUGAUGAACUCCUCCUUAGUUAGCCUGCUUAUGUACUUGAUGGGAUUCUAUAGUUUGCAUGAAUCCCUUCAUCAGGAAGUCACCAAGUAUUUGUCUCGGUUCUUCUGGGCGGGACCAGAUAAUAGACAAAAAUACCACAUGGUGAAAUGGUUUGAGGUUUGCAAGCCAAAGGACCAAGGCGGCUUGGGAGUCAUCUCGUCCAAGCGGAUGAACAUAGCCUUGCUCUCCAAAUGGCUAUAGCGCAUUGAGGCAGGAGAUGGAGGCCUAUGACUCCAGAUCAUCCGCGCAAAGUACCUGCGUGGACAGCCCCUUGCCUUCGCCUCCCGGACGGGUGGCUCCCAGUUUUGGCAAGCAGUCAUCCAGCUUAUGCCGGUCCUACGGAUUGGAACGUCCAUCUCGGUGGGGACAGGCACCAACACCCUGUUCUGGCUUGACCGUUGGUCGGGUGAUAGACCAUUUGCCCAACGUUUCAACGCGCUAUUUUCCAUCUGUGUCCGACCGCAUCUGUCCGUACAAGCGGCCCUCACUGACUUGGGGGUUGUAGCUUUCCGCCGAACUUUUGGCCCGUUAGAACGGGUCCAAUGGGACAAGAUGCUCCAAUGUAUUGCUCUACUCCCACUCCAUGGAGGAAGAUUCAGUAUCGUGGUCCCUCGAACCAAGUGGGAGGUUUUCUACCAAGUCCCUAUACCACGCCAUGCUAGCUACCCCGGGCCCAACCGAAAUGACCCUUCUUUGGGAGAUUAAGCUACCAUUAAAGAUUCGCAUCUUUCUAUGGCAAUGGGUUCGAGGCCGUUUACCCUCGGGUACGGAAGUUAGAAAACGGAAUGGCCCCGGGGAUGGUCUAUGCCCCCUAUGUAGCGUACCUGAAGAUUCCAACCAUAUUUUCUUUCGAUGCCCGGCGGCAGUCCUCCUCUGGAGCUGCAUCAGGGAGGUGAUUGGGACCAUGAUAACCUCCCCGAUCUGUUCCAGGCGGUCCUAAGCCGAGAGGCCAGGACGCGCCCUAGUCUGUGGGUAUUAGUGCGGACGAUGGUAAUGGACCCUGUGGAUGGCUCGCAAUAAGCUCGUUCGUGAUUGAGCAUGUGAUUCCAAUUCGUGCGACUGAUUCUAUUUACAAACUGUGUGGCUUCUUAGAGCUAUGGAGACCGCUCAGCAAGCGGUGAUAUCGGGACUUGAUCGACAGGAUCAUCUCGGCUUUACGCACCACCGCCGGAGCAUUGGCGCCACCGCUCCCGCCUCCACCACUUGAGCCGGAUUAGUUAGACUUUGAUCCAUAUUUUGGGAUUGUUUGGCUGUCCGUUCUGUGUUGUACUUGUGUUAUGCCCUUAUGGUAACUUAUUUUCGUUUCCUUGGCUGGACCUUUUGUUGGCCGCGGUUGCCGGAUUUAUAAUCUAAAGCGGGGGAAAACCCUAUUUCAUGAAUGCCUCCGCGCUGUCACACGGAGUGGUCUAGACCGCAAGAGUGCAGUGUGCACCGGCGAAGGUGGAGAAGACUAGCAGUGCGGUGCCUCUGACGAUGGCUUGGAACAGGUCCGUCAGCCACCACUGCCGCUGCAUGCUCCGGCGCCAUGGCUCGAAAGAAACUUGGCCACCGGCUGCCGGGCGCGCGGGGAGAGAGCUCGGUCUCGGCUGCUGCUUGUCCUCGGGUGCCGCCACGCAGACGCGGUACGCACCAACCGAGCCAGUCACUCACUCGCCCCUGGCGCGACGUCACAUCCAGGGUCACAGGGGACGUGGACGUCCGGUGGAAAAAGCGUCGCGGUGCGGACAAGCGGGGCGACGUGAGUUUCGAGAAGGCGCGACGCGACAGACAGGGACGCCCCGCACCGCCCGCACUCGCGCUGCCGUGCCGUACGUGGGCGGGUGGGUGCCGUCGUGGGGGAUGGCGCCGGUUACGGAAACGUGGGGGUUGCCCCGUGCGGCCGCGCCGAGCCCAGCUGGAGCAGCGGUCGAUUCGAUCGGUAAUUUUUCCAGUUCCAAACUGGUUCUACAGAACGUAACUCGAGCCUACUGAAAAGUGUAAUCUACGUGCAGUAUAAAUAUCCACAUGCACGGAAAAAGGUUCGUAAGUAUCUCAACCAUCCCAAAUCCCAUGAAAUCAUUUCUUGAAUUAAAGAGGGCCCGGCUCGUACAACCUCCAACCGAACACCUGCUCCCUCCGUCACAUAACAUAAGAGCGUUUUUUAUCCCAUAAUGUAAGAGAGUACAUACCAACAAUAGAAACAUCGUACAAGUUUUCCUCUUGGUCUAUUCAAUAACGAGCUUGCGGAGAAACAUACCAAAAAAUUGCAACUCUAAAGAAUUACUAGUAGGUUCUUCCUUGCUGCUUGUAUUUUAUUUGGGCUGUUGCCUUUUCUAUAUCUAGCCUAACCACUCAUAGCAGAACACAACAGCUCUUCAAAAAAUACAUGUAUUAAAACACAACAUGUUAGCAUAAGUGAGUAUGUAUUUACAAGAAGAGUGACAAAGUUGUAUGUGAGAUUCUUGUUGUAAUCAUGCCACAGAGAAAGCUACUGCGAGUUUGUUUUGGUCUGCGCCUUGGGCACACGACAUACUAUAGAGCUAUCAAAUUGUGGCGGGCAUACACAUCAUUUUGUUGAGUCUAAAUUGAAGGGAAGAAUUCCGCAUAGGGCCACGCCUGGCUCGCCAUAUAUUGCCCCUAUGUUAAUGUUACCGAGUACUUAUGUCAGAGUUGCCCAAAGUCCUAUUUCAAGAUGAGUAAUAAGCUUAACACCGAGCUACACAGACCAAAUCAUAAAAUAAAGCAAUUGAUGUGUUAGCUAAGACAUGACAUGUGUUUUUUUGGCGGGAUGCAUGCCUAACUCUAAAUGCAGCUAUUUCUAGCCUAUUAAGCCUAAUGAGGACACGAAAUAUCGUUUGUGAACUGCCUACCAACAUUUAUGGAAAACAAAACCCUGCACCUAAAAAGCACACAGAAUGAUGAUGAUUUUCUUUCAUAGUACCAUGCCGAACUUUGCUCAUGACAUUUCUAAAUGUAUCUUUUUAGGACCACCUAAAUCAAUCGAUUGCUAUUUUUUCGGUCUCAGCCGAUUAUGUCGGAACCGUUAGAUGUCAAUCCAGCACCCUCACUGUUCAUCUUCUUCCUCGAANNNNNNNNNNNNNNNNNNNNNNNNNNNNNNNNNNNNNNNNNNNNNNNNNNNNNNNNNNNNNNNNNNNNNNNNNNNNNNNNNNNNNNNNNNNNNNNNNNNNNNNNNNNNNNNNNNNNNNNNNNNNNNNNNNNNNNNNNNNNNNNNNNNNNNNNNNNNNNNNNNNNNNNNNNNNNNNNNNNNNNNNNNNNNNNNNNNNNNNNNNNNNNNNNNNNNNNNNNNNNNNNNNNNNNNNNNNNNNNNNNNNNNNNNNNNNNNNNNNNNNNNNNNNNNNNNNNNNNNNNNNNNNNNNNNNNNNNNNNNNNNNNNNNNNNNNNNNNNNNNNNNNNNNNNNNNNNNNNNNNNNNNNNNNNNNNNNNNNNNNNNNNNNNNNNNNNNNNNNNNNNNNNNNNNNNNNNNNNNNNNNNNNNNNNNNNNNNNNNNNNNNNNNNNNNNNNNNNNNNNNNNNNCCCUCGUCGCCAUCCCCCCCCUCCCGAAUCGUCAAGUUUCCGACUCAUCUUCACAUGCGACGCCGUGUGCCGGCCGCGGCGUCCCCGUCUCCGCCUCGGCUAGCAGUCGACCGAUGCAGUAAAUUUUCAUGCAACGAAGAAAUAGCCAUGCAAUUUUGCUAAACCAAACAACUAUCACUUGUGCACACUCAACACUAGCCAGCACAACCAAAUUAUCCAUUUGAUGCACGUCCACAGGAGAGAGAGGGGAGGGUGAAGAGAGAGAGAGGGAGUGUGUGUCGCCGCGAGAACUCCGAUAGCCACCCCCCCCACUCCCUUUCUCUCUCCUCAACUUUUCCCUUUUUUACUGCCCUCUCUCUCUCCCCUCCCCGCACACACCCCAUGCUUCCGCUUCUUCUUCCCCCAUCAAUCGCGAACCGGAUAGGGGAUAGAUAGAUCGCCCCCAAAUCUUUGCCCGGAACACCGCGGCGGCCGGCCGCUUCCACCCAACGCCACCCCACCCCACCACCACCACCCCUCGCUCUCCCCAGAUUCGGGCCUCCGUGGAGAUUUCCGGGAUCUUUCCGCCGGCGCCGUCGCCCAUGGCGUGCUGACAUGGUCUGCCGCGCCGCAAGCUGCCCUGCACAGGUCAGGCUCCGCUCCGCCCCCCUCUCCUCGCCCCGAUCUGCCGGCCGGAGCCGCCACCCGGGUGGCGGCUCUGGCCGAGCGCCCGAGCUUUGACGAGCUCCUGAUCUAGCCAAAGAUUGGUUUUUGCUUCCCGGAGAUCUUUCCGUGGAUUCGGUCGCCGCGCUUCCAUUUUUGUAGCCUCGGUUUUUCCUCCCUUUCCCGUUGUAUUUCGCGUCCGAUUCGGCAGGUUUCCAGUCAAUCUCGCCGUGCUAUUUCGGACUUUGCUUGACUGGCUUCUUGACUCAUGUUUUUGCCUCAGUUGCUUCGAUCCGACGAGCCAAGAAGAUGAACGGCGCGCCGAUCCCCGCGCCCCCGUUGGCGGCCGGCGCCGACGCCGCGGCCGCCGCGACGCCCAAGAAGAAUGCGGUCGCCGAGAUGGCCAGGCACCUCACCGUCGACACGGACGACGCCUUCGCCGGCCUCCUCGAGCUCGCCGCCGACGACGACGCGGACGGCCUGCGCCGCGCGCUGGAGCGCGCGCCCCCCGCCGCCGCGGACGAGGCCGGCCUCUGGUACGGCCGCCGGAAGGCGCUCGAGCAGCGCACCCCGCUCAUGGUCGCCGCCACCUACGGCAGCCUCGCCGCGCUCCGCCUGCUGCUGUCCCUCCCCUCCGUCGACGUCAACCGCCGCUGCGGCCCCGACGGCACCACCGCCCUUCACUGCGCCGCGUCUGGUGGCUCGUCCUCGGCCGUCGAGGCCGUCAGGCUGCUCCUGGUGGCCGGGGCUGACGCCGAUGCCACAGAUGCGUCCGGGUGCCGUCCGGCUGAUGUGAUCUCUGUGCCGCCAAAGAUGAUUGAUGCAAAGAUCGCCCUCCAAGAUCUGCUUGGGCUCCCAAAGUCUGGACAUGGCUUGCUCCGGGUGGUGACAAGGGCCACAAACCUGACCUCGUCGCCGGUGUCAUCUCCCACCGCCGAGGACGCUCGGUCUCCAUCAGCUGCCGUGAUGAUGAUGUCAAAGUUCCCAGACCUGCCGAGGGUUGCGACCUCAGAGAAGAAGGAAUACCCAGUGGAUCCAUCCCUGCCGGAUAUCAAGAACAGCAUCUAUGCCUCUGAUGAGUUCCGCAUGUACUCCUUCAAGAUCAGGCCGUGCUCCCGGGCGUACUCACAUGACUGGACCGAGUGCCCCUUUGUGCACCCUGGGGAGAACGCUCGGCGCCGCGAUCCGCGCAAGUAUCACUACAGUUGUGUUCCAUGCCCUGAUUUCAGAAAAGGUGUGUGCCGGCGUGGAGACAUGUGUGAGUAUGCUCAUGGGGUGUUUGAGUGCUGGCUCCACCCAGCGCAAUACCGCACUCGCCUUUGCAAGGAUGGCACCGGCUGCAAUCGCCGCGUCUGUUUCUUCGCGCACACCACCGAUGAGCUCCGCCCACUGUAUGUCUCCACUGGGUCCGCAGUGCCAUCCCCUAGGGCCUCAGCAACGGCUGCAAUGGAGAUGGCAGCAGCAAUGGGCUUGAUGCCUGGUUCUCCGUCAUCGGUCUCGGCAGUCAUGUCCCCAUUUACCCCACCAAGGUCUCCUUCUGGGAAUGGGAUGCCCCCUUCUUUGGGCUGGCAGCAACCAAAUGUUCCGACGCUACACCUUCCGGGCAGCAGCCUUCAGUCAAGCAGACUCCGAAGCUCACUUAAUGCAAGGGAUAUGCCUAUGGAUGACUACUCCCUGUUGCAGGAUAUUGAUUCCCAGCUUAUAAACGAUCUGUGCUACUCGCGUCUUGGUUCAUCAGCAGGAGGGAACCAUAGUUCUCGGACCAAGAGUCUGAACCCUUCAAACCUGGAUGAUCUCUUUUCUGCUGAGAUGGUCUCAUCCCCAAGGUACAACAAUGCUGAUCAAGGUGCUAUGUUUUCACCUUCCCAGAAGGCUGCCAUCCUUAAUCAGUUCCAGCAACAGCAGCAGCUUCUUUCGCCGAUCAACACAGGGUUCUCACCAAAGGCUGUGGACAACCAGCAGUUGCAUUCACGCUCAUCCCUACUGCAAGCAUCACUUGGGAUAUCCUCCCCUGGCCGGAUGUCCCCCCGUUGCGUCGAAUCUGGGUCGCCAAUGAACUCCCACCUAGCCGCCGCCCUUGCCCAGCGUGAGAAGCAACAGCAGCAGCAGCACCAACAGCACCAGCAGACAAUGAGGAGCCUCAGUUCUCGUGAUCUCGGGCCUAGUGCUGCAAGAGCAUCGGCUGCUGUUGGCUCUCCUCUGAGCUCAUCAUGGUCCAAGUGGGGGUCUCCUUCAGGGGCACCGGACUGGGGCGUCAACGGUGAAGAAUUGGGUAAGCUUCGCCGGUCAUCUUCCUUUGAGCUGAGAUCAGGCGGCGAUGACCCAGAUCUCUCCUGGGUGCACACACUGGUUAAGGAGUCUCCACCAGAGAAGCAGGUCACCACAGCUGAAUCCAUCAACAACUCUGUCAGACCUUCACCUCAAAUGCAUCCCAGUGUAAGUAACGGUGAAGGCUCUAGUGUGAGCACGCAGCUGAACCGACAUGACCAAGCCGCAGUUAUCGGAGCGCUGCUCGAGCAGAUGCAGCUUGACGAGCAGAUUGGUAGUCUAGCAGCAACAUAGACGAACAACCAAACAGAGCCCGGGAGGUGCGAGAAGAAGUUACCAUUGUUAGCUAAAGAAGAAUUGCAAGUAUUUUUUUGAUUUUCUGUUCAUUGAGGUCGUCAACAAGCAAGCAAGCAAGCGAAAAGGAUGGAUGGAUAGCUGAAGGCGGUGAUUCAGGGAUUGGUUUUCGUUAAUUUUUGGGAGGUAAAAAUCAAUACACAACUAUUGAGUUUCCAUUUCCAGUAGGUUAAAUUAAAGAGUGGAGUUACCUCAGUUUGGGGCCGAACGGAGGUAGAGAGAAUCGCACCCCGGCAGCUUCAGUUCAUCAGCCAAAAAAGAUUUAGUUGUCUAUUCUGUUAAUUAACCCUGUUAUAUUAAAUUAAAAGAAGAAGGCUCGUGUGCCAUGCCAGAAUUCUUUCCUUUUUUUUACCUUGGUGGUUGUUGUUUAUUUUGUUUUUUAUUGUUGUGACAUGGAUACUUGAUGUACUGAUGGGGUAUAAAUGGUUACCCGGGCAUGCUAUAGUUCCAAGUCCCCAAAUAUGUUUCAAUUUUAAUUUUUCCUUCAACAUGAUUUGUGAGAGGAUUACACCGUGGCCUUGUUUUCGGUCAGAAGAUGUUGAUUCCUCUAUUGUUCGUGGAUGAUAAUUGUAAUGAUGAUAAUAAUGUGAAAUUGUUACCGAAUCUUCGUCGCUGUUUAUUUUUUCGCCGUCGAAUCUUGGUUCAUCUGAAGUGCUCCCGAAUUUCUUGUGACUGGUGGCUUCUGAUGAAUCGUUCGGCCGAUGCAACCAGGGUUCUGUUUCUUGACUGGUAGAUGGAAUUUCAGGGCUAGUGGGUGCACGUGGUGGAGUCAGUUGUGGGUGCAUUUUUAUUGGCCAAGUGUGAGCGAGAUAAUGCGCCGACUAGUCAGUGUGAAGAUCGUGGAAUCUUAUCCCCGUUUUCACCCUAGAUCUUGAUUCGAAUUCGUGCCGGCAUUCGGAGGACGCGUAGCCGCGAUAUGAUUCUUAUUGCACCAGUUUUUGACAGUGAGGCGGUUCUCGAUGUAGAAUAUUGUUUGGUGCUUCUCCAACGGGAGUGGCCAAAACGAACCUCCUCAAAUGUCCCGAUAUCCGUCCCUUGUCCGAUGCAGAGAACAGAGAAAAGAAAGAAAGAUAAGAAAUGAAUUUAUGAUGGGUUCAAGGCUGAGUUCGUGUGCCCGGACUCCCCCAACCCUCCCCUAAGUUCAGGGACGAUUUGUGGUUGGUCCAAGGCUUAGCAUGUUCGAACUCCCCCAAUCCUCCUCUAAGUUUGGGGGCUGUUGGUGGGAUUUCAAACGUCCAGGUUAGCAUCUACAAAUAUCCGUCCCUUGUCCAAUGCAGAGAUCAGAGAAAAGAAAGAUACAAAAGAAUUUAUGAUGGGUUCAAGGCUGAGUUCGUAUGUCCGGACUCCCCCAAUCCUUCCCUAAGUUCAGAGCGGUUUGUCGGUGGUCUUAGGCUGAGUUAGCGUGUUAGUUUGGGGGCUGUUUGUGGGAUUUCAAACGUCCAGGCUAGUUUACAGAUAUCUGAUGACCGCCGGUGGAUGGCAAAAAAUGUCUGAACACACUAGUUCAGACAUUUGACGGUUUGACGAGUCCCGUUUGGAGUUGCCCUUACAAUCCCCUUCCCAUCAAUCCCUUUCCACAAAACUAAGUACUGUGUCGAUUUCCACUCCUUCCUAGUCGGCAGCCCCAUGGAUUGAAGCAUUGAUUCGACAUUGGCACUCCAGGGCGCCGGCCAUCCAACAAAUAUCCGUCCCUUGUCCAAUGCAGAGAUCAUAGAAAAGAAAGAUAAAAGAUUAAUUUAUGAUGGGUUCAAGACUGAGUUCGUGUGUCCAGACUCCCCCAACCCUCUCCUAAGUUCAGGGGCGGUUUGUGGUUGGUCCAAGGCCAGGUUAACAUGUUCGAACUCCCCCAAACCUCCUCUAAGUUUGGUGGCUGUUUGUGGGAUUUCAAACAUCCAGGUUAGUAUCUACAAAUAUCCGUCCUUUGUCCAAUGCAGAGAUCAGAGAAAAGAAAGAUACAGAAUGAAUUUAUGAUGGGUUCAAGGCUGAGUUAUUGUGUCCGGACUCCCCCAAUCCUUCUCCAAGUUCGCAGCGGUUUGUCAUUGGUUUUAGGCUGAGUUAGUGUGUUCAGACCCCUACCCCCCACCCCCCCAAAAAAACCUCCUAUAAGUUUGGGGUCUGUUUGUGGGAUUUCAAACGUCUAUGUUAGUUUACAGAUAUUUGAUGACUGCCGGUGGAUGGCAAAAAGUGUCUGAACACGAUGGUUAAGACAUUUGACGACUCCCGUUUGGAGUUGCCCUUACCAUCCCCUUUCCAUCAAUCCCUGUCCCCGAAACCAAGUACUGUGUCGAUUUCCACUCAUUCCUAGUCGGCAGCCUCAUGGAUUGAAGCAUUGAUUCGACAUUGGCACUCCGGGGUCUCCAUCAUUCCAUCAAGACCAUCACAAAACCAGUACAGGCAUGACGUGCACAGGCCAGAAGCAUGGUAUAGGGUGAUGACAUGAUGAGCAGAAUUUUCUUCUUCUAAACGGAGGCAAAAGUUUUGCCUAUCAAAUAAUUUCGGAAGAGAAUCACCCAAUUAAUUUACAGAAAACCGGGCGAAAACCAAUGGUGAGCAGAAAUGGCUGCCUUUCAACCUUCGUUUUCAAGUUUGAGCACCUUGAUGGCGCUACCUUUUGCUUGUGUGAGCAAGUUCAAUGAAUAAUUGGCAAAAUAAAAUUGCUCCAAGACUAGCCAUGCUUCCACAAUCAGCAGGUGCACAAAGAUCAAACAUAAUACACACCAGCCUCCAGGCACUAGUUCACAAAUAGCAUCGAUUAACGAUAAAGAAUCAACUGUUACCACGAACAUGAAUCUAUCACCACUCCAGCAGUAAGUUAAACUAAUACAAUUCAACCCCAUUUCAAGUCAAAUUCAAAGAAUAAAAAUAUGAAGUCCUAUAAGUUUCGCAAACACAAACUGCUGCAGAUUGAAAGUAAGAGACGAACACUCCAGCUAAUCUCUGGUUGAAAUCGAGUAUGGUACAAAACAGGGCGUUAGUUAAAAGUUACCAAAAUCAAUUGAGACAUCACUGACUGACAUUCAUUUGUAGUCCGUAAUCACUUGGAAGCCCAUUUACAAAAAAUGCCACCGCUUGUUUUUUUUGCGCGCUUUGUGGACAUUAGAUUUCCGGUCCUGGAGAACACUGCUGAUCGACAAACAACUUACUCCCUCUUUCUGGAUUUCUGAAUCUUGACAUAAGGCAAAAAUCCAAAGAGGUGGAUAAUGCGCGGCUCCCACCCACGCUGCUGAGCUCGGCAGAACAUCAAGAAUGUGUUUGCAAAGUAUGAGUUGAAGCCCAUAAGCACAUGCCACCAUGCAUGUCCCUGCGGGUUGAUGACCCAGAGCGAGAGCUUCUUACAGAAGAUGCGAUCAACUAGCCAGCAAACUGUCGCCAGGAAUAUGGUAAGAACCCACAGCUUCGCGAGCCUCUUGGCAGCCAAGUCUUUCGUCUGAAUGUAGUACUUGUACAUCCGCGGGAUGCAGAGAAGGCAGAGGCCAAUGUAGUGCAACUUGAAUACUACUUGGAAUCGCACGAAGAAGUGAACUACAGCAAAUGCAGCACCGUAUAGGACAAGGAAAGUAGGCAUGGUGCUCCUGUAAUGCCAGUCUGGUGAAUAAAGGACAUACAGAUAUAGGAGAAUUUCCCACACCAUUGGAGUCUCGUCACUCUGCUGUAAGCUGGAAAACAAAAUAUGGCCAACACGAAUCAAUAUAUUGCAAACAGUAAAGCAAAACUGAAAGAAAUAAUAUGAAGAAUUUGGCUGAAGUUAAGACAUGCUGAAACUGAGAUGCACACCAAGAAAUGCAUGUGAUGAUCCAUGAGGCCUCAAAUGCACAGCCUUUACUCAACAGAUUGAGAGAGAAUGAUUUUUAACUUGCACAUCAUGGUCUUAAUUACAGGAAUGCAUCCACUCUACAUAGGACUUGAAACAACUCACCUAUUGUGUUUGAUGCAAUGGAUAUGGUAUUUAUAAUUCAAAGUACAUGCAGCACAGACAGUUGUUAAGGAGGUAAGUGGUAAGUAAUGAUGUGCAUCAUAUGACCACCAAAAACAAGCAAGUUGCUUUAUUCGGGAGACUUCUAAUUUACUAAUUUGCCAACCAAAAGGCAGCUAGAUUACCCUAUGCAUUUUUCAAGGACCAACAGGAGUGGCAAAUAGUGAGCGCCUGUAACUACUGAAAUUUUGUCAUAAACAUAAGAAAACCAUUCAACACAGACACCAUUUCAGCAAUGAACAGCUGUACCAGUUGUUGAUGGUCAGCCAGGGCAUAAGUACAACCAUGCCAAAUUUUUAAUUCGGAACGUUCCAAAUUAAUCACUCGUUGUUCGGGUGCGCAAGUGCAUAUCAGUGCAUAAGCAUAGAAUUUUGAAAGCAAGACUCGAUGGAGAAAACAAUCUAAUGUGGCUUGUAAUUUGUCAAUGCAACCUUCUAUACCCAAGUUUUCAACCUAUGAAGACGAUCCUGUUUUGUUUGUAAUUUGCCUGUAUUUUUGUAACUUCUCAGAGUAGGGCUAUUUUCAAUUUAUUGAAGGGAGCCAUUCACCAAGAAUUUACAAGGUGUUCUAACAGAAUCACAUAGAAGUAACAAAGAAUGUAUUGUUUAUGGCUUUUGGCUUUGUGCUGAAACACCGGAAGUAAAAUGCACUUCUUUGAAUAUCAACAGCAGCGAGAUCAAAGAAAAGUUCAGGUCAAUAACAGCCAGAUAACAAUUACAAUAGCAGGGCGUAAUAUAUAUAGCGCUAAUACAAACUAAACACAAAUUCAUGUUAAUAAAAUAUCUUCUGCAAAUGAUUCAAAUGGCAGUAAAUAUAGGUUCAUCAAGGUGCAUUUAUUUUCUGCUAUCAGAAACUCUCAAUCAAAUGCGAGCACGCGUCGCUAAAUGUAAAAGGUGUGUCCUGGGUAGUGUCUGAGAGAUAGUACCUAACAAACUCGGAUCUACAAAAUAUCAAUAUGUUCUGUGUAUUUCAAUAAUUUAUAGUCGCCAAUACUACAUCAUGUUCACUUACUAAGCUGUAACCAUCAUAGACAGGAAAUCAGCCAAAAAGAUAAUGAAAAUGGUCACGGUGAAGCAAGAAACCACGUCUGAGCAAAUUAACAACUGGCAUUGUAGAGUCUUUUUUUCCCUCAAAAUGGUAGGGAGCAUGAAAUUUAACUUUGAUGUUUUGAAGCAAAGCCAUAACUAGUAAAAAAGAAAGAGGAAAUUACCCUAGAUUCAACGACAUGCUGUAACCAAAACCCAUCCCAUCAUUGUGAGCGCAAUUGCAAGAUACGCGUAGUAGGAAAGAACAACAUUCAACGAGCGAAAGGGCUAACUCCCAGAAUUGCGUGAUUACGAUUAAUACCAACCGAGAAUACCAGUACAGUUAACUAAAAACUUACACAUGUUGCAAGGUUGCAUGGAAGAUGAUACUCCCAAUAGAAAGUAUCAUAUUGGAUAUGUGCAGGACGCUGAAGCGCUUCUCAAAACGUUGGCGGAGAGCAUUCACGAGCCCAAUAAGCGCCAAGAGAAUGCAUGGGGCAUUAGAGAGAGUAUUGUAGAACUCUGCGAUGUAUGACGAGCGCGCAUAGUUCUCCUCGCACAGCUCAGUGGUUGAUGUAACCGGCCCCCAGAAGCUCGCCACCAUCGAAUCCGCCAUGGAAUCGGCCAUGAUUACCUCUUUACUCGGUAUGCUAUCAAGAGGCUAUGUCACAGCACGGUGUUGGAGGGCAGCAAACCAAAGACCUGCAGAAAUGAAACGUAAUUUUGUCAAGACCUACGCAGUGCUUGUGGCAGUUAAUCAUACUCCUGUGUGUACAAGAUAUAAAAAAUGUCGGCAUGUGGCGGGUACAGCAGGUAAAGAAGUCGUUAAAAGAUAAUUGACGUUUCCAUCAUAUAUAUCCUAUUCAUCCAUAAAAGGCAAGGGUAAUUUUCCCACUAAUGCAAUGACAUAAUAACGGCGGAACACCUCUUGGCACAAACAAUCCAAGUCACCAUCAUGGAAGGCUCACACGCAGCAAGUAGAAUUACAUAAGUAACUCCUACUCAGUGAGGGCUCGAAAAAAACCCUAACAACAAUUAAACACAAGUGCAACCACUAGCUUCCUUGAAAGGCGCUCUUACAACAGAAUCCAGCGGCACCAGCAGAUCCCAUCAGGGGUACGCACAGAUUCGCCGCAGCGAAAUCCGGCAUCGAUCGAUUCCCAGUCCCCCCGACCAGCCCCACCGCACAAGCAAACGUCUACCAGACCCAGGCCGAAUCUCCCACAGAUCUGCCUGCAGUGGAGGCCGAAUCAGCGGGAACGCGCACCAGCCCCCGCAGCGGCGAUUAGCAGGCCGCCAGCCCCGAGACCGUCGGCGCGACCCCCCUCUCUUGGCUCGCGGAAAACCCGCGCGUCGCCGCCCGUCCAGAAAAUUCAGAUCGCCGUGGACCAAACCGAAGGGGGCGGAGGGAUGGAUGGACCGGGGAGAACCCGCGGCUAGGGUUUUGAUCGGAAGGGAUCGAGGGAUCGGAGGGGGCGGAGGGGAUGGUUACCUCGGGCCGGGCGCGGCGGGGCGCGGCGGGGCGCGGCGCUCCUGCGGGUGGGCUGUGCCGUGGUGUGCGCGCUAGGGCAUGGAGGACGGCGAGGUCCGUGGGGCGCUUUUGUUCGCUUCGCUCGCUCGAUCGAUCCGUCGCUGUCUUCCUUUUUUUUUUCCUUUUCCCUUUUCCUUUUAACUUUUCUCCACGCGUCUUUUCCUCGGUGUUCGUUCGUUGGAAUAAAAAAAAAAUCGCCGUGGGCCGUCCGUCGGCGUGGUGCGCGGGCCUAGCGCGUGGGGCCCGGUGGCUUGACGGGUGGGGGCGAGAGUCGUCGGCCGGCCUUCCGCGGUGGCCGGCGGCCGUGCGCCGGGGCCGGCGGGGACCCCGCGGCCCGUACGGCGGUACACGCGUCCGGCCGUGCCGUGUACCCCCUACCACAUUGUGUUUUAGUGCAGAAGAAGAAUAUACGUAUGCAUGCAGGGACCAUUUUCCACGGUGAUCCCGUCGUCUGGCCGUUACUGCCGACGGUGCACCGCAUUAUUGAUUCAGAAUAUCGUGUAGAGCGUGCCUAAAAUACAACUACUACUACAGUACCGCUAAAGUGCAUCUAGAUGUGUCAUAAGUAUCGCACGCACAUCUUCGUCACUUGGUUUCUCUUCCCAUGUCUACUGACGCUGGCCUGGUCGAAAUCGUAUGGCAAGUCAGGCAUCGCGCACAUAAGUUGUAAUUUUGCGUUAGUGCAUCCAGACCAUGCCACCUUAUCAUUUUUGGGGAAUCAGCCUGUGCAUGUCGAUCGCAAUUCAAAUUGUUUGCGUUCAUUUUCGUAAGGCCAUGAAUGGUACACGUUUCGGAUGCUUGCGGCAAAAAUAUAUAGCAUCUUUCAUAUAUUUGUUUGUUUUGUUAAAGCUGGUGUCGUGUUAAGGUUGAUUUAAACCUUUUCUUUUUUUAUACCCGCAAAAGAAAGUGUUUUCUCUUUUAACACAUUAUUAUUUUGCCACAUGCUUUGUAAGUUUAUCGUUUCUAACAUUUGCAUUUGUUUUUCAUUAGAUUUUUAUGUUUCCAAACAGCAACUUAUACAUUUGUUAUUAGUUUUUUAUGUUUCCAAACACCAACAUAUACAUCUGUUUUAACACGGUUCCUGUGGCAAUUCACAGGGCAUCGUCUAGUUUCCCAAACAAGCGAGGUUAAAAUCUUUGACCUUGUAUCAAAAACAUUGUAAAAGUGUGUGGUUCAUAUGCGCGUGAGAUACCUGUCAUCUGGAGAAAAAAACAAUUUUACAGGCAUCGCAUCGCCGACAUGUGAUUAUUGUUGUUGAUUACGACUUGCUUGAGGUGCCGGCCCAUUUUUGCACCUAAACAUUAUCACAAAUUUGUAUUUGGCGCGGGCGGAUGUGGACCAUUUUCCCAGUGAUAUGUCAGCCUCACCAUGUCACAUUAUUAUUUGGAUUAUGUCGUAGUAUUUUCCCAAAAGACAAGUGAGGUUACAUCUUAGAUCUUGUAUGUCAAAAACACUGUAAACAUGUGGUCCAUGGGCACGGCACUUUUCACCAAGAAACCUAAUUUAGUUGGCCUCACCGACAUAUAAAUACUUUUUUGAUAACGACUUUUUCUUUCUUGAUAACGACUCGUUAGAGGAGCCAAUUCAUUAUGCGGGCUUCACAUUCUGGCACUACAACUACGUAAUAUUUUUUUUCUUGAAAACAACUCAUAAGAGUAAGUUGUGAUCAUCGAUGAGUUUAUGGGCUCUCUACUCGUCAUGGUGAAUCUACUAUAUCAAAAUAGAAGCCCCCACUACGUGAUUUUCCUGCCCUCACAAUCAGCCGGUCACAAAUUAGUUCAUUCGUUUGAUUAAUCAUGGAUGGACAGAAAUUAGUUGUAAAUUUGCAUUAGUGUAUCCAUGCAUGCCUUUUUUGGGGAAAUCAGCUCACGCAUGUCGAUUGCAAAUGUUUGCGUUCAUUUUCGUAUGGUCAUGAGUGGUACAUGUUUCGGAUGCUUGCGGCAAAAUAUAUAGCGUGCUUCAUUUUUUUUGUUAAACAUGGCAUCACGUUAUAUUAGAUUUAAAUGUCUUCUCUUCUUUUCUCGGUGCACGUUGGUUCGGAUUAAAAAUCUUCGUGGCCCUUUCGUUGGUGUGGUGCGCGGGCCUGGCGCAUGGGGCCCGCUUGGCGGGAGAGAGAGUGUGGAAUCAGCCGCCCUUCCACAGUGGCGGACGGGGACACGUUGCUCGUAUGGCGAUACACGCGUCCGGCCGCUGUGGGUCCCAAAUUUGUAUUUGGUAGAGAAGAAUGGACAGGUAGUGAUCCCGUCGUCUAGCUAUUAUCAACGAUGUGCCGCAUUACCAAAUUGGAAUAUUUCUCAAACAAGUGAGGAUGAAAUCUUGGAAAUCUAAUUUUCCAGGCAUCGUCGACAAGUGAUUUUCUUUAUUGACAAUGACUUGCUAGAGGCGUCGGCUCAUUUCGUGAGCUUCGAAUUAUCACGGACUGUAAUAUUUUCCUAGUGACAUGUCAGUCUCACUAUGUCGCAUUAUUACUCGGAUUAUGUCGGAGUAUUUUUCCAAAAGGACAAGUGAGGUUACAGCGUGGGUCUUGUGUGAAAGCACCGAAAACAUGUGUUACAUGGGCAAGACACUUGUCACCAAGAACAUAAUUCAGCAUGCCUCGCCGACAUAUGAUUUAUUACCUCUGUUCAGAAAUAACUGAUGUGGUAUUAGUUAAAAUUUAAACUAAAAUUCCCUCAAACAAAUUAAACUAAAACCGCGUCAAUUAUUUUUGAAUGAGGGCAGAUAAUGACUUGUUAGAUGGGUCGAUUCAUUUUGUGGGCUUCAUGUCAUACAAGAAAGAAUCACGCGCUUUGUCGUGCCGUUCUUCAUCAUGAGUCAAAAUUUCCCCAGGAUUGGUCUCUGGUUUGUGGGCUUCUAACUCGAAAUUUUUCCUUGAGGUGGUGUCGUCCUCCGCAUUUGUUAGAGGUAGGGUUUAGACGUGAGAAAAAAGUCAUCUAUAGUAGCAAUUCUUUUUUGAGAACUUAUAGUUACAUACGACACGUGUUUUAGAGAAAAUUCACACUCGCGCUGGCCAUAGAGCCCCAGCAGCGCAAAACUUAUCACUGUCAGGCUGCGACAGGACGCUUUUAGCGUCCAAUAGCACUUCACCGCCGGGUACCUUAUAUAUUGGGAUGGCCCAUUAGCAUAGGUUGGUCAGAUGUUCUUUUUCCCUUUAUUUGUGUUAAAUUUUCUUCACUUUUAUUUGCUUUUAAGAAAUGACUACACAUUUGAAAAAUGUUCAUGUGGUUACAAACUGUGCUCAUGUAUUUAUUUAUUUUGAACAUUCACGCAUUUAAAUAUUCACAUAUUUGAUAAAAUGAAUUUUGAAACUUGAUCGUGAGAUUUAAAAAAUGCUCAUGCAUGUUUUGAUAAGAAGUGUUCGUGUAUUUCUCCAAAACAAUUGUGUCUGUGUGCCGCGCGUGUGUUGUUUAACAAUAUUUCAUAAAAGAAGAAAGAAAAAAGAAAAAGCUGAAGCAAAAAAUAAAAUGGAAUGAAGUUAAAAGAGAGAGAAUGAAUCAAGUGAUCUUAUUGAUACGAAGGGUAUAUAUCCAUAUUGAGGGGUUGCUUCAAGACAUGGCAGUACAUGUUAGGUGAGAAAGAAUGCGACUGUUUGGGUUGAACACACCCCUUUACCAAUGACGUUCGUUAAUAAUAUGUAUUCAUAAGCACAAGUUAUUUAUAUCUAACAUUUUUCUUUAUUGCAUCAGAUUUGCCUGCCUCCAUUGUUUGGGCAUUUUGCUAUUGGCUUUUUUGGCGCCCUUGUUGUUUAUCGGCUAGAUGUAUCUUUUUGGCGCCCUUGUUGUUUAUCGGCUGGACGUAUCUUUUUGGCGUCCUUGUUGUUUAUCGGCUAGACGUAUCAUUUUUUUGGGUGGAGUUACAUAGCUGGAUCUGAUGUCAAGAGGUGGUGGAAGUGCUAUACGUAGCUGGACUGCUAUCUUUGGGGAAGUGCUAGACGCAAGCCACACGAACACAAGGGCUACACACUAUGACAUGCCGACAACAUAGGCCCUCCCGCCUGCAAGACUCAUGACCCACUAGAUAGCUUUAUUUUAAGAGAGCUUAUUAUUUUUUAGAGAUGUUUCUUCUUGAAAGCACCUCAUAAGAGUAAUUGUGAUCAUCGAUGAGUUUAUGCAUUCUCUACUCUUCGUGGUGAAUUUAGUAAAUUUCAAGUUAUAUAUAUAAACAAAACUGCGAAUAUCUAGAGAAAUGUGAAGUGUGAGGUAUCUCUCUCAAUAGCGGCUUGCCAUGUACUUCCCGUGGGCAACACCCAAACGCCCAAACCUUAACCACUACUACAUCGAUCUCAUGUACUCUUGUGGUAGUUGUGGGUAGGGACGAAGCUAGAAAAAAACUUAGCAGGAUCAUGUCUAUGAUAGUGGGGUCAUCAUCUAUAAAUGAAUAAGGAUUAGUACUAAAUUAGUGAAGGAUUUGCUAAUUUGAUUGGGUCAACUGACCCCAUUGCUUACAAGGAAGCUCCGUCCAUGGUUGUGGUUUGUGGGAUGCACGAUAGACUCCAAAGGACACACAUGCAUCAUUCCUAAUUUGAAGGAUUGGCCUUGAAAAGAGUUAUCGAGGUUUUGUUCACCAUUGAAUGAGUCAGUCAAAGGCAACACGCUAAUAUGAUCUUCUUCGUGAAAAAAUUAUGAGAUUUCCAAAGAAAUAAAAGCAAGAAAUUUUAAAGAGCGUUGAUGGAGGUUGGAAGCAAUAGGAAGAAGAAUGGACCGGGAUCCAUAGGUUCACUAGUGGUUUCUCUCCAAAAGAAAUAGCAAAGUGUGAUGAACAAAUACAGCUGUGCAUCGAUUAAAUUACGGUUUUUAUGAGUAUGGUUAUACAUGGUAUAAUUGCAUAUGACCAUCACGUCCAAACAUCUAUAAACCAUCAUCCUACUACAUCUACAGCUAAUACUCCAUCCCAAGACCAUUAUCCAACAUGCAUCUCAAAGUAUUAAGUUAAAGAAAUAUAUUAUUGCAUUAAGUAUGAUGACACGAAGUGACACAUUGUCUUCACCCUGCGUUCAAAAGGACAACUACGCAAUCAUAUUUUUUAUCCGUAAUGGCAACAAUAAAAUACAAUGCAAACCUUUUCCACUUUCUAUCACUGCAAUAGAUUACUUACAAGAUUGAACCCAACUAACAUACACAACUUCCUUUUGCAGAUCAUCCAUCAAACUUGGCCAAAGAAAUAUAAAUAGAUCGGUGAGCAUAUGUGAGUAAGAAUUUUGCAACAAAGAAACCAAAUUGAUCUCAAAAGAAUUAAUGGAUAGAUCUGGUCAUACAGUGACAAAUCAUCACAUGGCAACAAUGCAUCAGCAAAUUACAUUGAAUGGAUCACAAUCAUGUAGGGCAGCUCAUGUGAUAUUUGUAUUGAGAAGCAACCGAGAGAAAAACCAACUAGUUAUUGAUAUGGAUCCAUAGUCCAAAGAAAACUACUCACGAGCGAUCAUGGUGGCCUUCAAGUUGAUGUAGAUGGACAUUGAGAUGAUUUCCUUCUCCGACAGAGCACCGGAAAAGGCCUCUAGAUUGGAUCACUUCAAAACAGAGAGGUGCGGUUGUGGAAACAGAAAGACUCCUCAAUGUGUAGGGGUUUUGGAGCAAACAAAAAAUAUACGUUUUCAUAGCCACAAGGGGACCACGUGGUUGUACCACGCGGCCACCUUGGCUAUGUGGGGUCCUAGAUGGGACUCAAGUCCUCCGGAAGCUUCUCGUUGAAAAAUAUUUUCUAGAGUUUAUUUAAGGAUUUUUUGAGCUCUAUAAAAUUGAUGUUCCUGAAAGUCCAACAACAUGCAGAAAACAACAACUAACACUCCGCACUGAGUUAAUAGGUUAGUCUAGAAAAAUAAUAAAAGUUGAUGCCAAAUUAUGCCAAAAUGAUAUAAACCUAGCAUGAAACAAUAAAAAAAUAUACAUAUCUGAGACGUAUCAGCAUCACCGGGUUGAAUCCAUACUUGUCCUCUAGCAGAUAGAUCAUAACAACAUAAAUUUUGAUUGUAAAUGCUACGAACAUGAAUUAUAAUCAAUAUGAUGCAAUUUAGGUAUGACUGUAAAGAACAACGAUGCAAUGCAACAUUUUGUAGUUGAUAAAAAAGAUAACAUCAAAAAGUACAAGUAAAAUCACUCGCUUUUCAUGGAUCAAUGCUUUCAUAUCAAAUUCACCAAUGCCAUUUAUGUUUAGAUACAAUGUUAGGUGUAUCAUGAAACCAUAGUAUGCUAAGUCUUAAUUGUAUCAGAAACAAUUUUACCAUAAAGUGGCCAGAGUGUUGGUCAAGCACAUCAAUUACACAAUCUCGUGUUUCAAUUAAUCUAGAGUUAUGCAUUUUCUAGGGCGAGCCUUAAUCUUUACACUCAAACGGAAAAAGGAAUAAUCAUGGAGGUUAAUAAGUCGAAAAGAAAGAAAGUAUGGCAUCAACGCGACUGAUCUUUAGGUUAUGGAGAAGCCAUAUAAGCGAUGUUGAUGCACAGAGUAGCGAUUGUCAUGCAACAGAUCCACUAAAGCUAUGAAUAUAUAAAAGCUCUCCAAAUGAAUUAGUGGAGAUGUGCACCAAACUUCGCUUGUUUAUAAACACAUAAAGCGUUUGAGAAAGCUCAUCCAACAUCGCUGGUUCUACGGUGAAAAAUUACCAACUAACAUGUAAACAUGAAGAAUAUGAAAUGCAAGAAUGGUGCUAGUUUGAAUAAUAUGCAUGAAGCGUAUGCAUGGUAAUUUAAAGCACUAAGGGCAUCUCCAACGCAGACCCUCAAACUGCCCGCAAUCGUCCGAACUGCGUGGUCCAGGCGUGUUGUGUCAUCCAACGCGGGCCUGUAUCAUUCCACACAUCGGUUCAUACAUGCUUUCUCCNNNNNNNNNNNNNNNNNNNNNNNNNNNNNNNNNNNNNNNNNNNNNNNNNNNNNNNNNNNNNNNNNNNNNNNNNNNNNNNNNNNNNNNNNNNNNNNNNNNNNNNNNNNNNNNNNNNNNNNNNNNNNNNNNNNNNNNNNNNNNNNNNNNNNNNNNNNNNNNNNNNNNNNNNNNNNNNNNNNNNNNNNNNNNNNNNNNNNNNNNNNNNNNNNNNNNNNNNNNNNNNNNNNNNNNNNNNNNNNNNNNNNNNNNNNNNNNNNNNNNNNNGGGGGGGUUGCGGGAGUUCACACAGCAGCCACGUAGGACUCCGGCACCCGGAGCCCACGCCCCCUCCCGGUCCCAUUUCCUUCCACUCUACCCCUUCUCGCCCUUACUUUGCAUCCGCGCCCUCCAUCUCCGUCACCACCCUUGUACCUCUUCGGCCGUCACAGAGGCAUUGUCGGACGUCCACAACCAGCACUGACGCGCACGCCCGCUUUUACGACGGUGUUGCCCACCCUAGAGCCGUUUGUACCUAGGUACACUCCGCCCCCUGUCGACGACCUCCAUGACGGACACCACGCCCGAUAGGUGUUCGAUCAAAUGCCAUUUAGCUUAAUUUCGAAUGCCAUGUCAUUCUUUCGGAGUACGAAGGUUGGCGGGGUACUCGACCGUGGAGGAUGAGUUGUUGUGCGAUGCAUGGUUGGUUGUAUCCAUCAAUUUUGUAGGCAGGAGCGGAGGAGGACCUUCUGGCAGCAAGUGCAUGAAUCGUUUCGCGCGCGAAAACACAUUGCUCCCUACGACAUGCACAUCAUUUAAGAACACAAUGUGAGGUCGUUAUCAUAUCACUAGCACGGUAUCCAGACCAGCGUCACCAAGUUUUGUCGCGUGGUUGAUCAGCUGGAGGCAAGGUGGCCAUUGCACGCAGCAGAGGAGGAGUUCGUGAGUUUUGCUUCUUCUUGCUCGACUUGUUUAAAUCAUUCAUUCACUUAAUGCUGGUCUACAUGUUCAUUUACUCAAUGCUGGUCUACACAUUAUGUAGCCCGCUCACGUUGCCGUGAUGUACCACAGAACAGAGGGACGGCCAUUUAAGUACACAUUGUUAGAUAAAGUUGAAGGGGCAGUAUAUGUGGGACGACGUAAUCUGUUAAUGAAGCUUAUUGGACAUCCGGUUAAGAUAUUGUUGUACUAGACUUAUUUGGAUGAUUGAUUUGUGCUAUUUUCAAUCCAAACUGGAUAAAUGUCGGCCGAUUUGCAUGAAUUUCAUCCGGCUGAAGUGUGUAUGCAGGCAACAUUGGAUGAAAUUUCAUCCUAUCAAUUUGCAUGAAUUUCAUCCUGCUGAAGUGUGUGUGCUAUCUUGCACGAAUUUCAUCCGGCUGAAGUGUGUAUGCAGACAGCAUUGGGUGGAAUUUCCUCCGACUGAACAAUCAGUAUCCACAGACUACGCCGGAGUAUCCGCAGACUAUGCCGGUAUCCGCAGACCAUGCUAAAGCAAAUUUCAAAUUUACGGGUCAGUGGUGUUGGAUGAAAUUUCAUCCGGAGACUAUGCCAGAGCAAAUUUACGGGUCAGUAGCGUUGGAUGAAAAGAAAUUUCAUCCGGCUAAACGAUCAGUAUACGCAGACUAUGCGGAGCGUAUGCCCUAAUGUAUGAAAUGCAAAAAAGAAUAACGACCCUUUCAAGAAAAAAAAAACGUUGGAGUUGCUGCAAAAAGUAGUACUACUGUUGCCUCCUCUCUCUCCUCUCUGUGCCUCUUUCAUUCCUCACAAAGAUUGGAACAACACCGAACAAUAUACCUUAGGCUGUUAGGCAUGUGUGGUUUCUGUAUUCUCCUGAUCCAAUUUGUAUGCCCUAGAACAUCAUUGUGCAGUAAAGCUCUGCCACUCGCUCAAAAAAAAAAAAACAAGGGUGAAGCGGCCAGCAAGCCAUGGUGAUGUAUAUUGUUGCCUUGCCUUGGGAGAUGGUUUCAAUCCUGCACCUGAUGUGCUUGUUUGUUUUCGCCUCCCGCACGUACGUCUGUACUGCUGAUGUGUCGAAGUUUGAUGGUCGUUGCGAAGCCACCGCUAUUUUCUAGCGGUGGGAUAAUCGUCUUACACGUUUCGCAUUCAGCGAAGACAGAAUCUGAACUUCGUUUCAAAAAAGGAAGACGGAUUCUGAAGUAUUCUCGUACGAAGGAUGAACCAAAUGGUGAAUUAUCCUCGUCGAUAUCAAAUGAUCGGCAGCGUGUAGUAAAACAGCAGAAACAUCACACACACACAGGACACACUGAAGCAGCACAGAAGCAAAUGCAUGGACAGACGAAGCGGCCCGGGCCUUUUCUUAUUCACAACUCGGUACUAAACCGAUCGAUCGGACGAACACGAGCAGUACUAAAACAGUAGAAACAUCACACACACACACUGACACGCACGAACACACACACUCGCUCGUGUAGACACGUACGAAGGCACUAGCAUACAUAGAGCAGGUAGCAGACGACGCGCGCGCGCCCUGCUGCGCGGCGCGGCCGACUGGCAUCGGCCUGCUAGCUCCAGCUUACGACGACGCCCUGGUGCCGGUGCCGGCGCCCGCUCCGCCGGUGGCGCCGGUGUGGCCGCCUCCUCCGGCGCGCGCCUCCUCCGCGCGGCUCUGGAUGGCGUGGCCGGCCUGCUGCGUCUUGUGCCCCGCGGCCGCGGCGGCGUCGGCCAUGCGCUGGCGCGCCUCCUCCACGUAGUCCGGGGUGCGCUGGAACGCCUGGCGGGCCGUGUUAGCCAACACGGUGAGCGAGGAGAGGCCGCCCAGCCCCAGCGCGCCGGAGGUGAGGAACCCGGUGACGGCCAGGCCGAUGGUGAGCGCGGCCGGGACCAGCACGGGGCUGAAGAGCAGGAACACGGGCGUGGCCACGGCCAGCCCCACCACGGUGCCCGCCAGCGCCAGCCCCGACAGCACCAGCAGCAGCCCGCCCAGCGGGAACAGCGUCGCCACCGUCAGCGCCUGCGACGCCGACGGCGCCUUCUCCUGGAGCAUGCCCUUCAUCUGCUCCCCCAUCUGGCGCCCGUGCUGCUGCUGCCCGCCGUGGUGCCCGCCGCCGUACUGCCCGUGCUGCACCUGCACGUAGCCCCCGCGGUCCGCCAUUGCUCCUCCCUCGCUUCGCUGCGUCCGCCGGCGGUGAAGUGAACCAAGAUCUGUCGAACUCAAGAGCUGGAGGUAGGGGAGUGAAGUGAAGUGAGUUGAG